ACGAUGAUGGAGAGAGGGGCGACGAAGACGGCCAUGGAGAAGGCGAGGCAGACGCUGCCGAGGAACUUGACCUGGUGGGGCUUGGGGACGAGGUAGAGGGUGGUGACGACGAUGAGGGCGAAGGCGGCGACGUCGAGGAGGAGGAAGAAGGCGAGGGUGCGGAGCCUGGCGCGGCGCGGCGCGUAGACGAGGUAGAGGACGAUGUAGGCGGCCUCGACGCCGCAGCCGAAGGCGUUGAUGGUCAGCAGCGGCCUCGAGUUGGUCUUCACCAGCGCGUAGAAGAUCCACAGCACCGAGCUGAAGAGCGCCACCACGUACGGCACCGAGCUGUACCCUCCCGUCGACUUCUUCUUGUACACCUGCAAGAACGUCGCCCUGCAAUUUUUCAGAGAUAUAAAUUCCAGUUCGUCGUCAGAGAUAUUCAGAUGUUUCUCUCGAGAUUUUGAUGGUGACAGUAGGAAUGGAGUACUCACACUGGUGCAAGGAACACCAGGAAGGAGAUGAUGUUUCCUGCAAAAGAAACAAGACAGAAAACGACAUCGUUAAUUAAUAUAUGAUCAGUGGAGUAACAUUCUUUCAGAGUUUCAGCUGGUUCACACGGAUGCAGAUAUGUUAGCUAGGUUAGGAUAAAAUAAAAUAAAAUUUUAGUUUGCAUAUAUAUACACUGUCAGUAAGAUAGUAAUGUUCUUUCAGAGUUUCAGAGAUGUUAGCUAGGUUAGGAUCGAGAAUUGAAACUGGUUGAUGGGUCAUUAAUUGGUCAUUUUUGUUUACUGACAAAAAUCAAAUCAGUUUGUUACCACCUAGCUAGCUCUGCUUUUGUUUAGUGACAGCGACGAAGAGGAGCAGAUGCACGCCUCCCUCACUGCUCAACCGAUCUCCAUUUCAAGAAAUCGGAAUUAAAUUAGCAGAAGCUAAUCUGGGAGCUAGCUUAGGUAGAGUACUAGAGUGCAUGCAUGUUGAGAAAGUUGGCAAUACUAAUUAAUGACCUAUGUGUGGAAUUCCUAGCUGAAACAAACCCUGCUUAAUUUGAUGCAAUUAUGCAGCUAGAUAGUAUAUGUGUUUAUGUUUGUGUGGCCAGAAACUGGGCAUGUGUUGAGGCAAAAAGGUGAAGAGAGAAAAAGUGCUAGGUCUUUUGAAGUGAGAUUCCUGCUCCAUGCAUGAGCUGAAGCUAGGGAAGUGACUUGUGCCCAUCACUUGUAAACAAGAAAAAAGCAGAUCAAUGGAGACAGAAAGCUCAAGAACACAAGGACAUAAAAAAAAGGAGAAGAUUUUUUAACAACAUUGCCCUGCUGCACUGUGUGAACUGCUGAACAGAUAUGCAUUCCUAGAAGCAUCAAAAGCGUGUGUGUGCUGUGCACAAUGCAAUGGUGCAGACAACAACUAGUGUAUGGAGAAAUUAAACAGCAAUUAACCUGAAUUUGAUCAUUAGCAUAUGAAAACUAAAAUGAUCUUCAGUUGCAUUUGUCCAUGGAUGAUCAUGGCUGUGAAGAUGAUGAUGAUGAUGAUGAUGAUGAAAUUAAGUUUGAGCAUUAUGCAUUGGUUGCAUGCUUUACCUGCAACACCGGAGAGGGUGACCGCCGGGUUAGCCAUGGACAAGAAACCUCCUGCCAUUGCUACUGGUGAUGAAGGUUAUUAACUAACUCUAAGGUGUUAAUCAGUGAGAAGGUUAGGAAGAGGAGAGGAGACACCAGCUAGAAACUAGCCAGAAAUCCCUUCCAACUUCCUGACACAAGAGAUGCUAGCUAGAGAGGAAGGCUUAAGUGCUACUACAACUGCAUGUGUGGUUUGGCCUUGGCCAUGGCUCAGUGUUUAUAUAGUUGGAGACCCUCCACUUUUGGUGGUGUACAGUAGGGGGAGAUGCAUAUCUAACCUUUGCUUUUUUUUCUUGUGCUUGAUAUUUCUUUUUCACUCUGAUAUAUCAUUUAUAUGAAUUUUCUUUUUCUACCUCUAGAUCUGUCCCUCUCUCCACUACUCUGAAUAUGUGGUCAUAUGAAUGCAUAACUGAGGGGCAAUAUGACACGUAUGACCACUCAGUGUGUCUGUUGCCAUUUGGAGAGCUGGAGCUCUCAUAUAGGUUUCUUUUACUUGUUACAAUAGUUGAAAUGUUAUUGAAAAUUUUCUUGAUUUGUGUAGUUUUAUUUGUAGAAGGAUGUACAACCAUGGACAAUGAUGCAACUUAAUUAGUAACAUGUUGGGUGAUCCAUCAAUCGACUUCUAUCGUCAGAAAAGAAUUGCAGAGUAGUUCGUGUGCAAUCAAGUGACUAAGCUCAAAUCGAACAAAGAGUUAAUUCACACACUGUUCAAGAAUGAAUUGAGUGCAAUAACACUGAUAAUACAAUCAGCACAUUUAUCAAAGAACAUGAAAAUAACAGAGCAGAGGGAAGUCAUCAAAUAAAUCUCAUGAAAAGAACAGAGGAAGAAGGGAACAUAUGAAAGAGAAGGGUAGUCCCUUUCACCAUGAACAAAGUGCUUUGGUGUUCAAAAGAGAGAAAAAAAAGAGCUUCUAACAAUUGCAGCAUUAAUUUCUUUGUAUCAGCAUCUGUUGUACCACUAACACCAACAUGCCAAGAUGUUUUGCACAAUUCACUCUGCAGGUUUUCAAAGCUAGCAAAAGUGACGGAAUCUUCAUUAAGAACCUUAACUAAUUUCUUGUCUAGCUAAUUAAACCAUAAUAUGCCUAUUCUUAGAGAGAGGUAACUUGAAGAAAGGGAUAUGUCAGUUUGUUGCCGCAACAUUAACUCUGCUUGUUAGAUCGAUCUUAAUUAGGUUACUGACCAGAAGCAUUCACCUUUUCCUGAAGUUAUGGAAUGCUGAUCAAUGGAAUUAAUUCCAAAAGCUAGCCAACAGUUUGUUAGCAACAGGUUAUUUGGCGAGUAAUUAAUUCCAAAAAGCUAACCAUGUUUCAUCAUAAGUCAGUUCUGUUCUCCCUCUUCAUUCUCUCUCUUUUAAAUUACUAAAAUAUCUGACUAAAGUAAUUUUAUAGUCCUCGAGAAGCUAGUACUAAAAGUUAAUAUAUUUUAAUAUAUUUUCUAGUGUAAAAUUUCAUAACUCUCACUACCUCACAUAUCAGGAGGUAUCAAAAUUUACACUAAAAGAUUUGGUACCUGAUCGUAAAAUUUCUGAUCUAAUUCGCAUUGUUGAGAGAAUUGCAUAUCCUAUCUUACUAUAAAGUUAUAACCCGCUAAUCCUAAAGCUCAACAUGCAAACCCACCACUUCAUCGUCCACUAGCAAUAGUUACAUACAAAACUUAUGUAAGCAUGCAACAUCAUAUGUAAUUCAUUGAAUUCUACAAAUCAACAUCCAAUCAUCUUCCUUCACAUUAUUUUUCACAAUACUUUUAACAUAUCCAUCAUUUUUAUAAUAAUUAACAUAUAUUCAUCCAUAUAAUCAAAGUGCGGGAUAUCAUAUUUGAUCUACAAUCUCAUACAGAGUCUACUAAAUUUAUUUCUCUCUGAACAUAGUUUGACAAACCAGUUUUAUUUGUUGUUAAAAGCUAAUAUAAUUUUUACUUUUAUCUCGAUUAUUAAAAAAAUAGUCACUUAGUAAUUUCCGCAGCAAAGCGCAGAGAAUCACAUAGUUAGCUAAUGUUGCAAGUGCCCUAUGAAAAUAUUUGUCAACAAAUCCAAAUGUUUGCUGAAAACGGGCAUGCAAAAAAAAAUCGAUAAUGCCGUCGUACUAGUUUAUACAAGCCAAAAAAUUCACCUCCAACUAAUCAUUUCAUAUUCCCAAGUGUUUACGCCAUGCAUAUCUGUAACAAAGAAAUUUCACAAGAUUCAGUAAAAGUUCAACAGUAUCCCUCCCUACUGACCCCACUAUCUUGAAGGUGGCAUUGCUAUAGAAAAGAAAAAUCAAAAUCCCAUUUCGCCUCCUUGUUUUGGGGCUGAGAAUAUCAUUCCUCGUAUCCUAAAAAGAUGAAUGUCAUUCGCAAAGAAGAUCUUUGAUGCAAAGAGAAAACUGAUACAGUGAAAAGUGUAAGAAAAGUUGCCCAUAUAUAUGUGUGUUCUAAGUAUAUGAACAGUUUAGCCGACAAGAGCAAAGAUUUAUAUAUGUAUUGACUACUGGUGGGGUAAACUUGAACACAGAAUACAUCAGCUUCUUCCAUGAACACUGAAAAGUGCUUCAUCAAUAACAGUACUGCACAUUCUGUCCUCCACUGAGCUAAGACCAGAGCUCCGAUUGGAGGAGGAAAUAUACAUAGUGGAAUCGUACAUAAGUACAAAUUAUCUGUUGAAACCGUGUGAAUUAGCAGUAUUAAUUAGCUACCUAGGAAUUAGCGGUAUUAUUAAUUUGUAAUCAAAGUUAGUAUAUAGUACUUUCUUGUUUGAACAAUGUAGCUGCAAUGAUUGUAAAUUAUUCAGUGUAUUUACUAGCAGGAAUUUGCUGCUUAAUUUCAAGAAGAUACUGGAUGUGAUUACUAUAUGUGUUAAUAAGGAUUUUACUUCUGCUUUUUGCAUAUUCCCCCAAAAUUAAAAGGGAUUUUACUUAUAUAGAUAUUAGAGAAAAGUCUGUCCUGAAGGUCUUGUCUAUUUGAUUGGAAAUCGACGUUGGAGAGGUAGGUGUUUGAAAAUUCAGAGGUUGUUAUACCUUUCCCUGGAAAAAAAAAACUUUCAGAAAUUCAGAGGUUGUUCUGCAAGCCUUCAUAUCGAUCAUUUGUCUCUGACCCCAGAAGAGAUUUCAUGCCAAGAGACAAGCUAACUUUUCACAAAAGAAAAAAGGGGCCAAGAAAAUAAGUUAUUAUGUCUUCCUCUUUUUCUUCCCAAGGGACUUGGAAUGCAGAGUUUGGGUCCCUUGAGGAAUCAGGAUUUCAGGUCAUACCACCUGCAAAAGCGCGUCACAUUAUUGUCAUGCUUUCUUAGUUUUUUUUUCUUGGCAUGGAUGAUUCAUACUUUCUGGGCAUAUCGACAUAAUUCAUGUCUUAUAUAUCUAUAUAGGUCAUGCAAAAUGGAACUCAUAUAAAUGUAGAGAAAAGAUGCAGACGAAAUAAGCAGGAUGUAUUUUUCCAAAAAGAAAUGCAAGGAAAACAGCUAACAAGUGCAUGCAAUUUAACACAUAGUUUUCUUAUACACAACAAGCAUGCUAAAAUUGUAAGUGAAUGGCAAUCUUAGCACAUUUGCACUUGUUCAACUAGGACAGUUUAUGCCCACAGAAAUGCAUACUACAAUAAUACUAGUACUAGUACUACUACUAUGUAUGUUCCAUAAACCAGCUAUAGCCCAAGAGAGUAGAUUUGCUUAUAACUUACAAGAGUUUAUGUGGAUAUGUAGCUGGCCUCCAAUUCACCUGUUUCCAAAACUUGGUAUAUGAAUGCAACACUUAUCAAUAAAUGUAAUGACACCUCAAUAUUCUCCAUCAACUCCACUAUGCAAUAAAAAUUCAGUCACCCAGUUACAGAAAAUGAUUGUGAAAUUUGUUGCUUGCUUGUAUAUCAGUAUGGUUCGUCUGUUAUGCUCCAUAUCAAAAUUAGGCAAGAUGGGGAGCAGUUAGUUCUUAUCAUGCCAAUAUUAACUACCAGUUGUUCACAAGGCAUGCAAGAUGAUGCGCAUAAAUAUAUGUGUUUCCAUGCUAAUAAGACAGCUACAAAGAUGUUAAGUUGUUAUCUUAUCAUGCCUAAAACUCCAAAAAGGAGAACUUGAGCUGGAGAUUCUCCACAACAGCUCUAGUUUUGACUCUAGUGCAGAUGUGCUGUAAAAAACAAACUCUUAGGCAGCUCCAGCUCUCCAUUUGUUUCUGAAACCCUACCAAAAGGUAAGUGUGCUUCUCCAGCUUCUUGUACUCAAGGUGGUUAAAUGCUAUCUUGCUUAAAGAAAGAUGGUGACUGAUGUUUUUUUCUUCAAUGUAUCUAAACCAGUAGAAUUAAUAGCACAUGGUUUUUCAGUUGGAGCAUGUUAAAUUUGCUCCCUUUCACUAUCUCUCUCUGAUGCAACUACACAUCAUGAACCGGUAGACUGAAAGUUGUGGUUGAUAGUUGCCCAGUACAUGUUACCAGUGAGCAGUGGCUGGGAAAUGCAAGUGAGAAGCGCACAGAGGAGUUGCCCACUAACUCUGGUCAAUGAGAUUAGUUACACUGUGCACCUUAACCAAAAGGUGAAUUUGCAUAGACUCCCCUGGUUAAUUUGCAGUGUGCAAACAAUUAAAGGUUGCAAACUUCGAAAGAACACUUCCCAGUUUGAGGCUCUGCCCUGUUCUUUGUCGAGGAAUGUGUGAAUUGUUGACCGCGCACACUUCUCGAGCUUUUAAACGGUAUGGUUUCUAUUUAAAAUUUCUAUAUAUGAUUUUUUUUUAAAAAAUAUUAUUUUUAAUCCAUUUUCAACUUUAUGAUAGUUAAUUCAUCCGUUUGUAACCUCGAAUUAUUGUCGAAAACAAUUCAAUUAUUUAGCCACUCAUCACAUAAUAACAUACCACGCGAGAUGGGAUUGAGUCCUAUCGCUCGCUCUCAGAUAGAUCGUUAUCUCUCAAUUCCCUAUUCAAGGAAAUUUGGAAAUGACACGGAUUAUCGCUAUGUCUCCCCCUUGUCAUUUUUCUUUUCUGUCUAGGGGCCUGUCUAGGGGAGUUUAAGAUUCUGAGAAGCAGCUGCUGAGAAGCUAGCUGGUGAGAAUCUGGAGAAGCUGGAAAACCCAGCUUCUGACUUCUAGUUCAUUUUUCAGAUUCUACAACUACAUAUUCUCAGAAUCUAGGUAAAAAGCUGGAUAGUUUAGGAGAGCUUCUGGCAACUGGAGAUUCUAGGAGAAGCUGCAGCUGCUAGAAGCUCCCCCAAACAGGAGUCCCUCUCGCGGUCGCAUGUCAGCAAUGCAAAAGAGGAUCCCCUUGUCGCAAUCCCGUAAUCCCCUCCCUCUGGUUAGGAGGCAUGUGACAUGCCUGAAUCUUUCGGUACACCCCCUGAUCGAUCGAUCUCUCCUGGCCAACGAGAUCUUCAUCUUACGUGGUUAGAUCAGGAGGAAGAAGAACUGAUCGAUCGAUCUUGGCAUCUUGCCAUGUCUCUUCCUGAAAAUGACCAAAAGGAGAGAUCGAUGAAACUGACCGGAGUAAACUGCUCAUGCACCUCCUCAACAACCAUGCCCAUACAGGCUGAUUUGGCACUGACAAUCCAUGGCAGCCAAACGCAUGGGCGCCACUGCUUCCAUUCCAUCGGCUCUUGACCACCUCUCGAUCUCCAUUGCCGACCGCUCAUCCGAGCUGCUGCUUGCCACAUGGCAGCUGCUACAUGUGACAGGUCCAGAAGGAAACACUGCUUGCUGCUAGCAGGAUCCUGGCUAGGAUCUUCUGCCCAUGAACAAAGCAACAGUGCCUUGAUUAUUGUGAAAACUUAGCUUUCAAUAAAAUCUGGAAGAGGUUGUGUAUAUAGAGAAUUAUGGAGUACCGUUUACAGUGCUUUAUACCAGUAGUAUUCUACUACCAGUAUUAUCGUCAGUAGAAAUGGUUUUAAACGUUGAUUUAUAAGUUCUAGUAGUUGGUGUGGUAGUAUAAAUCGGUAUGAUUUAUUCGAUUAGAAAAAUUAAACGGUUUAGAUUGGUUCUACUAUGUUUAGAGAGAAUUGUAAAACACCUCAAAAUUAUAAUGAUGAAAAUUUCCUUCAUCUAAUGUGUAGUCUUUGUACAACAUUGUUAAUGUACAAUUGUUCAGUGUAUCUUGUACUGUAGUACUGUAGCUGUUUUUUUUUUGUCAAUUUUUGAUUAAUUAGCUUUUUGUGUUUUAUUCUGUUUCUUGUAAAUAUCUGUACGUGUGGUUGUCAAGUAAAGAAAAAGAGUUCAGAGACGCUUUAUACACACGUUUGGAUACUAGUUGACCAGAAAAGUUCAAUCAAAGUACAUGAGUAUAUAUUAACCUGUGGAGAGAAUCCCAACUACUAGCUAAAUAACUCCACAAACAAAGACAGAAAACUUUGUAGCCAUAGAACUGUCUAGGGCCCCAGCUGAACAAUCUCUGAACAAAAAAGGCACUUAAUUAUUUAAUUACCAUCUAAUUAAUCUAAAACUGAUGGAUGGAGAUCAUAGGCCUGUCACUUCUGGGUCCCCUGAUAUCGUCAGGCAACAAGCUCCUCUUUUUGACUACCAGUAGCAAUCACUGAGUUAUUCCCCAAAAAUGAUUUCUAGUGAAAAUAAAUAUACAGUUUAGGAGAUUUUUUUUGUUUGCUUUGGAACAACUAUAACUAAUUUUAAAAAGUUUUUUCUUUUUUGAGAGGUGUGGUGGUGAUGGGUGAAUUAAUGUGCUCUUAAGGAAAAGCCUUGUAACACACAUGCACAAAUAGGAUUCUUUCUUACAACAAGCUGUUCCUGAAAAAGGAUUCAAAACUCAAAACAAGCAGCUACACUUUAAUUUGUCAUGGAAAACCCACGAGGAGAUAAUCAGUAGCUUUUCCUUCAGAAAAGUGCAAUACCUGUAAUAAUUAAGCAGCGGUUCACUUUUUCAUAGACAAAUAAGCACACCAGUUACAUAUAUAACAAAUGCAAAUUAAUUUCAGAAACAAAUGUGUUAACAUCAUUUUAAAUAUAAUCGAUGAAAGUUUUAUUAAACUCAGCCAAUUACAUCAAACUGAUAGAAAUAACCAUGCAUCUGAACACAUGUGUUAACAUCUGAACUUCUGAAGGAUGAUUCAAUUCAGAUCAGCACUGAAUCAUUUUUUUUCUGAAGACAAUGAAAUCUUAUAAUGAACCCAGACAAUUACAUCGAGGAGAUACAACUCCACCGAGAGAACACUCUCGGCCUCUGCAUAUCUAAAUCACCGAAUCACUUUGCACCAACUGUAAUUAACCCAACUAUUAGUUGGAUCUUUCUUGAGCUUAGCCUAAGCAGAGCCCAGAGGCUAGGUGUAGUGGGUGCAGCCAGAUCAAUAGUAGCAGUAGCAGCUACUUCCUCCGUUUCACAAUAUAAGUCAUUCUAACAUUUUCCCUAUUUAUAUUUAUGUUAAUGAAUAUAUAUAUAUAUAUGUGUGUGUCUAGAUUCAUUAACAUCAAUAUGAAUGUGGGAAAUGCUAGAAUGACUUACAUUGUGAAACGGGGGAUCCGAGUAGCUAGCAAGGCAGCUAGUGCUGAUAACGCUGUACCCAUUUGGUUGCUCGACAAUUAUCACGGUGGGGAAGAAGAUGGCAUCAGUGGCGGCCGUCCGGGGAUAAGAGAUGCGCGGCCGGCCGGCGGCCAACUUGGGUGGUCGGACCAAAACCUGCACUCACUUAUUUUACUACUGGAGUAGCUAGCAAUCGAUCGAGAUAGUGGCACUCACUCAAUCGCAUGCAGAUCAUAUGCAGUGUAGGGCGCUUACAAACACUACUAGCCCCUUUUUCUCCGGCUUCCUUUCUAUCUCAUCUGAUCAUCUUCAUCUGACCUUAGCUGACAUUGUGCCCAUAUUGCAAACAGCAAUUCACCUUCACCGGGCCAGUCAGGAAGGCACAUCGAUCAUAUCGAUCGACCAUAUCUUGCCUGCCUGCAAGGAAAAAAAGGAUCAUAUAUUUAUCCAUGAUUCAAUUUUCAUCCAUGCAUGUACCACCGCAUUACUGAUCAUUAUAUGUGUAUAUUUUCAACCAUAUAGAGAGACAACUUGUCCAAAAGCUACCUGGAAUAGCAUUGACUUGUUUCCAUUUUGCGCAAAUUAAGGCCUAGCUAGCUUGUAAUUGUUGCUUUUGUAAUAGGGCCGGUAUCUUUGUAGGCAUAUGUGUGUGUGUGUCUUUUCGUUGACAAAAAAGAAAAGGUCAUCCCUCGGGCUACAAGGGGCUUUAGGUUAUUUUUCCUCGAAAAAUGGGUUUUAAGUUGCACAUAUUCAUCUUUAUAGUUAUUCUUGACGGUUAGAGUUUGGCUGGCACUACACAUUUUGCGAGAUUAUUGCCAUGGACACAUGGUAGUUUAGAUGAGCUAUUAUUGCCAUGGUAGUUUAUAGUUUAGAUGAGCUGAUGAGCCAUCAGUGUCGUGCGGUUUCUCUUUUUGUUAUUAGCCUUUGGGUUCUUCUUUUACUCUUCUCAUAUCAAUAUAUAUAUAUAUAUAUAUAUAUAUAUAUAUAUAUAUAUAACACUAGCUAGACAAAUUGGCUGGCUAUUUGAAAAAGAAGUCUAACUGGAUGUCGGCAGCGUAUUGUAUUUUGUAUCUGGUCACUUGAUUGCAACGGGGAAUAUGCUGCAUGCAUGGCUUUCGCAUAUUCAUCUAACUUUACAACUCUCGCUUGUUUGUACAAAUCCAAACAGGAGGAUAAGAAUCCGGUGACCAUAUAUCAACUACUCCUAAAGAACUAAACCACCUAGCAUUCCUUUGUUCAACAACGGGUUUUAGCUAGGUUUGCGCAUAUAAAUCAGCAUUCUGGUUGUCAUGUAACCUUUAUCAAGUUCCUUAAUUGGCACUAGGAACAUGCGUUUACACGUAUGGCUUCCGUAUAUUCGUCUAACUUUACAACUCUCUCUCGCCUGUACAGAUACAAACAGGAGGAUAAAAAUCCGACGGCGGUGUACUGAUCAUCCCUAAAGGAUUAAACCACCUAGCAUUUUUUCCCCUCGCACUCAUCCCAAUGUACCAGUGGCAUUCUAGAAGUGCAUUGCCAACUCGAAGCUGAUGUGGCCCAUUAGUUUGCUCCAAAAUGGCAAGUUGAUGUGCAUCGAUAUGCUGUGCAAGAAGCUAGGAUCGAUCCUAAUUAUUUGCAGGAUUUUCUGGGUGAAAUCUUAUCCCUGUGCAGCGUUUGUGGCCUUAUGUGGCCACUGGUGCAUUAUUAAAGUGUGCAUCGAUCGAUCAGUGUCGUCGUCGCGUGUACGAGGUUGUAGACAGCAGCAGCUGGGGUACACGUACGGUGGACGUGUAGUGCAAUAGUUUCGAUCUGCUUCGUCUAGUCAACAGCUGCGUAUGAUGUAUGCCAUUGCCAACGCCAACCUAUAAUGGACCGUCCAAUCAUACGGGAACAAACGCAAGUGUACACAAAUAAUUAAACCGUAUGUAGUUUAUAUACACGUAGGAGAUAGCGGUAGCUAGGAGUUUUCUACUUCCUCCGUUUCACAAUGUAAGUCAUUCUAGCAUUUUUCACAUUCAUUUUGAUGCUAAUGAAUCUAAAUAAAUAUAUGUCUAGAUUCAUUAACAUCAAUAUGAAUAUGAAAAAUGCUAAAAUGACUUACAUUGUAAAACGAAGCAGGAGUAUUACACUUUGGAUGAUGUAGCUCUUAUAAAAUAUCGUUAAUAGAUUGUACGUGUUCUCUAUUCAGUAUUUGUCUUAUAACCUUAAGUGUCCUUUUAUUUUAUUUUAUCUUUCCUUUAUACUUAGUAGCCAUGUGCCAGUUGGCAGAGGCCGAAGAUGUGUAGAAUACCAUAGAUAAAGAUAUGUGUACAAUAGUUUAUGAUUUAAUUAUUUUUUUUUUCAUAUAUGGAGUAUUUUGGUGUAUGUCUAUCACUUUCACUGGUUUCUUAUGUACACGUACACACAGGCAUAGCACUACUAUUAGACUUAGAAGUUAGAACUACCAUGUGGGCCGUUAUGUAUUUUUGUGAUGGGUUUAAUUACUUAAACCAUGGUUAAUUUCUUGGUCAGUAUUAACUAAAGUGCUUUUGACUCUUGUGGUUUUGAAAGUACAGUAAUUAGGUUAAUUUUGUGAUUCAGAGCACUUAUGUAAGAUAUGUGUAGUGCGUCCAACACGUACGACUAGUACAAGUUGCAUGUUUCCUGUUUUACUGUGUGCAGUUAGUACCAAGCUUUAGUUUCACCUCUAAAUGUUCUGCCUAAAUUAAACAGUAGUAGUGUAAUCCAACUGGCAACGAGUAUAGUAGAUUUCCAUUGGCUGGUAUAUAGUACAUCGAUCUCUUGAGAAUUUUGAUGAUUCUGAAGAUUUCCAUUGGCUGGUAUAUGUGUACUGUAUAUCAGUGUCAAGAUUAAUUAGAAUAUGUCAGUUUAAACUCUCUACAACUUUACACGCAUUAGCUAGUACAUAUGUAAAACAGCCGAAGUCUUAACCUAGAUAGAAAAAUAUAGUGCGCAUCUAUGCGCCUUAUUACAUGUCUACAUCCUACAUUUUACAAUGUAAGAUUUUCUAUGUCUAGAUUUAUUAAUAUCUAUAUGAAUGUGCAUAAUGCUAGAAAGUUUUACAUUGUGAAACGGAGGGAGUAGUUUGUAAUAUCUCCAAAAAGCUAGGCGUUGAAAAAGCCUCGAUAUAUAUUAAGAACAUUUUUUUUACCAAGAUUCAUGCAUAAUGCACUAGACUAGAAGUAUACCACUGAUUGUACAUGCCACGGAGAUCUUCCUAGUUUCUUGCAUUCAAGGAAAUUAUCACAGUAGAACUAGUUAAUUAGCUCACAUAUAUGCAUGGAAGAAAGCAAGAAUAUUUCUAAAAAACUAACCAACACAGAUAUAUUAUACCAAUUUCAUUAAAUAUAGUGAGGGUAAAGGUAUUUACGAGUAAGAGAAAAAUGUGAGUACACUAUAUACUGUAUGCAUUAGCUAUUAGCUAUAGUAUGCAACCAAAAUAAACCCAUUAUAAGUCCAGCUAAUGAAUUAGCUAGUUUCAUGAUUUGGACAUAUAGUACUUAGUAUGCCCUCCCUCCAUAUUAUAAAUCAUUUGACUUUUUUUUUAGUCCAAUUUUUAUUAAAUUUAUAAAAAAAAUACUUACAUUUUAAUUAAAAACAAACACAUUAUCAAAAUAUACUCAAUGUUAAAUUUAAUAAAAUAAAUUUGAAGUUAUAUAUGUUGCUAAUUUUCUAUAAACUUGGUUAAAAAUCUAAGAAAGUUUGACUAAGAAAAAAAUUAAACGACUUAUAAUAUAAAAUAGGGGAAGUAUACACAAAUAUAAUAGGGCAUGAUAUAUCACGCGCAAAGGACAAAUAAAACCGUAUUAGUUCUGUCAGCAUGCAUACAGUAGUAUAGUCGUAGUCCCGUCCACGUCAUAACUGAAAAUUGCAGUCAAUUGUCAAAACCUCGAUCUCUGCCGGCCGUGUGCAUGGACAGAAAUACUACGUGGUUCACACCAUCCAGCCAUCUCCUUGAUAUACACGUACGGCUAGCCUAGCUCAUGUCUAUUCCCUCUUUAUCAUAAAUCUAAGAUCCUUUCUUUUUAUUUCUUGAUUAGUUUUUUUUUCAAAUUUAACCAUAUUUACAAAAAAAAUAAUAACAUCUAUAAUAUUAAAUUAGUUUUAUAUUAAAUCUAGCAUUGAAUAUAUUUUGAUAAUAUAUUUGCUUUGUAUUAAAAAUAUUGCUAUGUUUUUCUAUAAAUUUAAUCAAACUAAAAGAAAUUUGACUAGAAAAAACGUCUUAUAAUAUGAAACAGAUGGAGUAUAUUAUCUCCACACCCCCAUUUGUCACUAAUCCGCAUAAUGUGUACUAGUCCAGCUUAUGUGCCUUGGCCUCUUAAUGCAUGGAUCUAGAAAUAUUUUAGAGUCUAGACAAACUUAACUAGAGCUAGUAUCUGAUAUAAAAUUUCUAUCUUCAAUCCACUUAUGAACCAAACAAUUGAUCAGAGUCAUCGGGCCUUGGAUCGGCCAGUGUGUAGGUCAAAUCUUACAUGCAUAUAACAUAUCGUGACAACAUAUUCACUACUACAUACUAUUGCUGUUGCUACUACAGAACGCAUGAAACAUAGCACCUUAUCAAUGCCGGUUUGCCAAUAACCGACACUGACAUAUAGGUCCUAGUCAGUAGUUAGACAUUCGUCGAAAUAUCAAUAUCAAGUGACUAUAAUAGGGUCGAAACCCUAGCUCAACCUACUAGCUUCAAUCCUCAAAAUCCAUUACCACCUCUAUUCCUCGUGGUCGAUUGAAGGUUGCCAGACUCCACCUUUCCUCUCUCUUCCUCAAGUUCUUCAACUGCUGAAGUUUGCUGGCAAAACCCUUGUGGCCGCCACCCUACUCAACCUUACUUUGCUGCCGACCAGGCUACAAGGGGCUGGCCACAUCCUAGAUAAAAUCCGUACCUAUAUUACAUUGGGAAUAAGUUCGGUGAUGUAAAAAUAUAUUUUGAGAGUUCAAAUAUUUAGAUGAUAAAGCUGAAUAAGUUUAAGGACCGGCCAUACCCUUUACGUGUAAAAGAAAUAUCUGUAACAUAAGUUGGCCGGGAUGAAUAUGUACUGGAACAAAAAGAGGCAGGCAUGAAUAGUUGCUUUAGCUCCUUAGGAAGGUCGACCGAAGCUGCAGCAAGAAGCAAUAACAGAGCAAGUUGUUGCACGCAUGACAUUCGUAGUUGCGGCGGCCGGCGAGAUAUAUUGGCCUGCAUCAUGAACGACACAACUAGUAGAUGAUAGCUAUAGUUCUCGAUCGAUCGAUCGACCGGCUGCUGGCUAGCUGUUGCUCACUCGAUCACUCUCCAGGGGGCUUGAAGCUUCCUGCUUCACCUUUGUGCUUGUACGUACAACGCAUCAUCAGUACUGACUUGGCUGCUCCUCCUUUUUGCCGUCUUAACACCACAGCCACUAGCUAGCUAGCUGCUCCAUCCGUCCCAAAAUAUAAAUAUAAGCGUUUUUUACCCUAAUACGGUCUCCAAGAUGCUAAUUUGACCAACAAUAUCUAUAAAAUUAAGAUGUUUUAAAUAAAAAGAGUUGCAUAUUAUGAUAUUUUGUUUAAUGAUAAAUCUAGCUAGUAAUAUCAACUUUACAUGAUUGAUUUUUUAUAUUUUAUUUAUUAUUAAUAGUCAAAGUUAAAAAUGUUUGACUUAUCACUUUGCUAAAAAUGCUUAUAUUUUGGGACGGAGGGAGUAAUGAUCAGCUGCAAUAAUACUGUAUACCACUGCAUAUAUAUGCAAUUUGCUGAAUUAUUGAAGUCGAUCGUAUGUACUAGCAUAUGUGUGCUUUGGUAGCUGCUAGCUAGCUAUAUCUGAUGCUAUAUGAAUCUUGGAAGGAAAACAUAUACAUGCAUGCAUGCACUAGUAAGUACAGGGCAGACAUGAAUUGGUAUCAUGCACUUUGUUCAGUUCCCUGAUCUGAUCAUCAUCAGUAAUGUGAUGUGUACUAGCUAGCACUUUGAACAGGGAGAGAGCUUAGUUCAUGGCAGAUCGAUCGAUCGAUCUCUAUGCAUGUGUGAAACAGCAACCUUAGAGAAGUAAGCCAACUAUAAACAUAUUUUAAACAGAUAAAAAAAAAGAGAGAAGAGUAAGUAGGCUACAGAUCUGUAGCUAGAUGCAAUACGAACUCCAAGACAUAAUGUGUGUAUGACUGGUGGGACCAUAUAUUAAUAAUAUAGUAAGCAACUAUUAUUGAAUUAGCUAUUACAUUGACUAUAUAUGAUUUGGAGCGGAUAGUUAGCUUAUACUAUUAAACUUGCUCUUAGCUCGAAUUAAAGGGUGAUCGAUUUGACACGCGCGGUUUCCGAGGAGAGAAAUAUCAACUGAUGAGCGCGUGUGGACGCAGAGAUCGAUCGAGAUAGAUAGAGUGCAGCUCGAGCUGGAGAGCACCAUAUGUAUGUAUGCAAGCAGAGCCACUCACAGCCGCCUGCUAUUCUAGUUUAGAUUCACUGAUCAUCACCUCACCUCACCUACCUCGCCGCUAGCUGCUUCAGCCGAUCCAGGAUCAUAUAUAUGCAUCUGCAGUUGCAUUGCACCUAGAAAUUAAAUCAAUUAACCCAGGAUAUAAUAUAUAUACAUGCAUACACUUAGUGAUACAUGUAGGCCAUUUACACUGCAGAAGCUUUAGGAUGAAUGAAUGAAUGAUCUUGUUCCUGAUCUAAUUAUGAUGAUCAGGUGAGCGGCUAUUGGCUCUCACACUCUGACCAGCGCUUUAGCUGUAAGCGACCUCACCUACCUACCUCCAUUGUUGCCCCAUGAUGAGCAUGCCUGCCCUAGCUUAGUGGCUCACUUCGUCCCAACACUUACAUACUACUGCUACAUAUCUGAUCGAUCUAAGACCCUGUUUAAUACAGCUUCAGCUCUAGUUCUACCUCUUCUGGAGCUGAGGUUCAGCCAAACAGUUUCAGCUUCAUCUAAGAUGAGAGCGGAGCUGGAUGGAGCGCUCUCACAAAAUAAACUAGAGAUGUGGAGCUAGGUUUUGGACGCUCCACAACUUUACUCCAUACUUAAUUUCUGAAGCUAAAUUUUAGAGUUGGAGCUCUACCAAAUAGGGCUUAACAAUACUAUAUCAAUUCACCGCUACAAGGAGUCAAGUACUCCCUUUGUAUUGUACCUAAAUAUAAUUAAGCAGUUCUAGCCUUCUAGGUUGUUUAGGAAUUAUUCCCUUUCAGUCAUUUGAAUGGUCAAAUUUUGAAAUUUUAAGUUACUAUACUACUUGAAUUCCUUUUCUAAGCAUCUGGAUGGGCUGAAAUGGUUAGAUUCCCAUGCAUUGGAAUCGAUGCGUCCCUUAAAAAUAUAUACUUAUACCGUGUAUAAAACUUAAAUCCUAGAAAUACUUAUACUAAACUUUAGUACUUUCUCCGUCCCAAUAUAUAAUAACUUUGGACCGAAUUUGAUAUAUCCUACUAUGAAUCUAGACAUGCACUCAAAUACGGUCCAAGGUUGCUAUAUAUUAGGACGGAGGAAGUACUUGGUAUUACUUUUUCUUUUUGUUUUUUUAGGAAUGGAGAGGUUGGGAAAGAGAAGGAUAUCUAGCAGGAGGAUAUCCUACCUAGCCAGCAUGCAUGUACAGGCAAAUUAGGGCAGCAGAUGGAUGGAUCAUGGAUGGAUGGAUUGGAUGCAGCUGACACUGUGCCACGCUUGCUCCUACUAGAAGCAACGCGUGCAGCAUAUUCAUCCAUCAGCUAAUGCGAUGUGAGGCGCCGAAUAUUCAUCUCUCCACCGGGCGGCCACCAGUGGAUGGGAGCCAAUUCUUUUCUCCAGUAAGAUUUAGAUGAAGAUAAAAAUUUUCAUGGCAUGCUUUUCAAACUGCUAAACGGUAUGUUUCGUGUGAAAACUUUCUAUAUAAAAGUUACUCUAAAAUAUUAUAUUAAUCUAUUUUUCAAGUUUAUAACAAUUAAAACUUAAUCAACCAUACAUUAAUACCAUAUUGUUUUGCGUAAAAAAAAUUAAUCUUUAUUUUUAAGAGAAAUGAACACCAACCGCUGUUGCUGCUGCUCUCAUUGUGAGCACCAACGUACGACCAAUUCAGAUUCAGCUUAGCUAUAGCUCAACGUACACAUGCAUGUACUGCAAGUCUGCAACCAAUACGAUCCAGAUUUUCAGAGUACAGUACAAUUAUUGCUACUACCAAGUCGGCCAUGCCGGUCGAUCGAUCGAUCUCGGCUUCGACGCUUUUAGUUCGUAGAGUAGAAUUAAAACGUGCUUGAAUUGAUCAUGUGAUGAAGUACAGCGUGGACUCCAUGUUUGCAUCAGAUUAUCUCAGGUUGGCUCCUUACAUUCCCAGUAGGCAGAUUCGUAUGUAUGUAUGUCUACCUGCUGCAACCAAGGCCCAGAUAGAAAGACACAGGCCCAUCUAGAUAGAAUACAGGAAGCUCGCAGCUGGAGUAGCAUUUUGCAAGGAAAUAGAAGACCAAAGGUUGACUACUUGGGUCACAACUCAUAUUAUUCUCUUUGAUGGAUAUAUUGACUCAAAACUCUACAAAAACUGGGGAUCCAUAAUUAAUUUUCAGCAAUAGAUCUUACAAGCUAAUUUUAUACACAGCUGGUUCAGCAUUGGAGCUGAGUUUUUUUUUGUUGGUUAUCCACAAUUUUAGAAACUUAACUGCUUGUUUGUUGGGCAACUCGAGGAAAAGGAUGCUGAGAUUAAGAGGAGAAUUUGAUUUUUAAUCUCAGUAUCUUGUUUGGUAGAGGUAAUGGAAAUUGAUAGAGAGUUUAGUUAAAGAUUAGAUCAUUAAUGAUAACGGAUGGCUAAAAUUUAUUUAGGCAAACUAAAGGAGGAAUUCUCUCCCAAUUACCACCUCUACCAGGUAUUCAAAAGGAGGGAACCUCCACCAGGUAUUCAAAAGGAGGGAGUUCCUUCCUCAAUUCCGCAUUCCCACCAAAAUUCUCAUAUCUCCCAACCAAAUAAAACAACUCCCCAACGAUUAAUAGCAUCAUCCCUCUAAACUUCUAAUCCCUCCAAAAACCUCCAACCAAACAGGCCGUAAAUGGCAUCCUGGGAAGCAUCAAGAGAAAACCAAAAUACGUCUGUUCCAACAAAUAUAUAUACAGAUACCCCAUCCAAACCGGAAGCUCUUGGGCUACUUUUCUUAAAACACCAGACACACAUACAGCGCAUGGAAGCUUCGUGUGAUAUCAUGCACUACCAAAGACAAAGCAACAGGAAGCGUGUUUGGAAUUACACAGAUGAUCCAGGACCUUUACCCUGGCGCACAUGGUAAACAAAUUGUACUUCAUGGUAGUUCAAUGCACAGGGUCACUCUGAUUCUGAAGUUCCAGUUCUAUUAACCCAACUUGACCGCCUUGAAUGUGUGCCAGCUCGUCCUUUCAUGAGAUCAGCUGGAAGGUCGUCCCUGCUCAGAUCUGGGGAUGCAUGCGUUAGUCUACCCUCUUUCUCAUCCAAAAAGCCCCCGAGACCUGCUUCCAAGUCCCUGAUAUCAGCUGCUGUCCUCGGUUCAUCCCAAGGCACCGGCUUCCUGCCCAUUUCAAGAUCCCCAACAGGUUUGCCCAUGUUGGGGCUCAUAAAACCUCUUGAUGCUACACGGGUUUGCUGUAGCCCUUGCUCAACUGUGACCCUUGCCCGGAAAUUGUUCUUUGAAGGAGGAAUACGGCUGCAGAAUAUCUCUAGAAAGUUGUUCAGAACGCCUCUGUUAUACGGGUUAGCCCGUCUAUCGUAGCGAUACCUGAAGUUCUCAUAAGUUGUCUGCAAAAGAACAGGGCUACAUGAUUAGCUAAUGAAUUGAAAUCGUUGUGUUUAGGAAAUUAAUGCUGAAUCGAACUAAUACCUACCUGGUUGGUGCUCAUCAAAUAGCAAUGGAAGACAGAAAGACCACCAACAAACCAUACACAAAGGAAGCAGUAGAUGAUCAAAACGAUUGAGGCUGGUGUCUUUAGCAUUGCCUUCCAAACUGACAAACUCUCAGCAUUUCUAAUCUUGAUUAUGUACACCCAACAGAAAGCAAAUACGUAGAGGCAGAGUAACGUGGUCGAGAAUACAAACAUGUAGAAGAACCGAUAAUUACGCUGCACCAAAUAUGCUUUAUGAUUAGGCUCAAGUUGAUUUGAAGAGAGCUCAAUGAAAAGCACUGGAAGAAUAACUCCAAACAAAUACGCACAUGUCUUUCCUACGGUAAGGAUAGGUACAGAACUGCUGGAAAAACAUGAUACUUACAAGUCCUAUGCAUUGGCCAACCCAUGGACAGUGAUGAUCAAACCGUUCCACACAGUUGUUGCAUAUCGAACAGUGUGAGCAUCGAGGUGGCCGGUAAAGCAUGCAUGUGUCACAGUAUUUAAUCCUCACACUGAUUCCGUUUACAAUGACAUCCUUUGUCCGAGGCAGACGCAACUGUUGUGGAGUCUGAACUCCAGAAUCAUUGCUCCCAUCAAAGCCUUCAGGCUCAGGAGGAUGAGUGUUACGAGGUAUAAUACCAGGAUCUCUACCAGAAGUAAGGAGAAGCAGCGUCAAAUCCUAUAAAAUGAAAACAAAUUAGUUAUUUGUAUAUUUUGAAAAUGUAUAAACCUUAGAAAUACAUGCAGAAAAAAUUAUGACAAGCAACCAUGGUCAGUGCAAGAUCUGGGACACUAAAUGAAACCAUUUCAAGGGAGAUGUGAUGGCUAAGAAUUCCACUGCUUAUUAUUAUAAGAUGUGAAGAAAAGAAAUAGUGACUGUACAAGUAUGCUUACAUAAACGGUGAAGACAACCACCACAACCAUCACCGAGAUACCCCAAUCACCGGGAAAGUCAUCAAUGAGGUGUCUGGCGACAAACACGCAGAAGGCCACCACUGGUGCAACGAUGAGGAACAUAGUGAGAAAUAUGGAUCUCACAUCAGGCCCAAAUAUAAACCUCCCUCGCAAGAAGAAUUCCUUCAAAAUACAAAAUAUAAAUGGAUACCAUCAGAACUCCAUCAAAUCCAAUUGCAAGCACUCAUAGCAAACAUUAUAUUUGUUUUUCGUGCAAUACUCAGACAACUUAAAUAACAACAGAGAGAAGCUCUCCCCUGUAUGGAGGACCUUACGCUUAUAUUGUGCUAUCGGCUUUUAGGUUAAAGCUGAAGCUCACCAAAGCAGGGCCUGAUGGCAUUUCAAAAUUCCACUGGAUUAUCUCCGAGUUUGUAUGCUAAAGAAGUACAAGUUGACCAAUGACUAACAAACUUCUAUCAAGAACAUGUUGUUACCAAGCCAAAUGCCCAAAUGUAUAAGGAAAUAAAAUGCAAUAUAUUGUAGAGCUCAAGUCACACUCACAUGACACAGCUCAUCAAAAUAUUUAGCAUGAAGACCAGCGUAUAUCUUAAGAGUUAGCUACAAGAUUUGUUGGUCCACUAGCAAAUGCAGAUCUCGAUUCUGAAUCAUGUCAAGUGAAAAACAAAAGGCAGAACCAAAUGUAUCACAAGAUGAGGUACAAAAUUUCUGCAGAAAAAAGUCUUAGAACUUAUGAAACCGUUAACUUCUAAAUUUAGCUAAAGUCAUGAACUCAUGAUUAUCAGUUUACGAUUGAUAGGCAAUAUCUUACUUGUAUAACUUCGAACUGUGCACAGAUGCUCGCUUCAUUCCUAUUUUGACUAGACGAAUUGUUUUCAACUAGCAUAGACAUUCUCACCAUAGAUACUGAACAUGAUCAUUAAACUGGCAGAUAACAAAACAACUCCAACUCAAAUCUAUCCAUUUUCCUCUUGGUCAUGUGAGUUAAAAAUGACAAAACAAAUAAGAGCAAAACCAAAAUAACUAAUUAUCGAUGAUACUGGGACCUAUGUUUCCAGCUUCUUAUGACAACACAAGUGAACAUAACUGUCACAGCACACUAAUAGUCUAAUAUAGAGUUCAUAAACAGUCAUUUCCCAAUCAGGUGUGAAGCAAAGAGUCCCAAAAUCGAACACCAGGUCCUCCAAUCACGCUGUAGGAUCGAUCUCCAAAAACGUAAACCGAACCCCCACUACCAAAUCACAUAAAAAACGAGUAAUUCCCCCAGCCGAUCCCUCAGAUAGCACUCCCAUCUCACCGAUCACUGCGCAUAGUGCGCCGCUAAGUACAGAUCCAGCUCCAGCUUCACCCUGCGGCAAAGGCGAGAGAGAGAGGGAGAGAGAGAGAGAGAGAGAGAGUGCUUACGUUGCUUCCCCGCCAAACCUGGUAAACCCUAGGCUGGUCGCCGGCGUCGCGGCCGGCCGCAUCGGAGCGAGAUGGCUGCGGCACGUACAUCCCGCCGCCGCCGCUGAUGCCGCAGGGCCCCCCUCAACCAAACUCCUCGUCAACGACCGGUGAGCCCGCCCGCCCGCCCGACUGAACCGACCACCAGCGGCGAUGGUCCCCCCACUCACCACCACCACCACCACCGUGGCCUACUCCGCCGCCGCCGCCGCCGCCGCAGCCGAGACGGGCCCCCCCGCGACGAGGAGGUGGGGGUUGCGGGGGAAGAGGGAGAGAGAGAGAGAGAGAGGAAGGGGAAAGGGAAGGUCUUCGGGUUUGGGGGGGUGGAGGUGGGUCGCGUCGGGCGGCAGCGCAGCGGCCAAAAGACCGAAAGCGACGUGGUCUGCGGUCCGACGGGGCGGGCGCGCGAGGGUGGGGCCCACGUCUCGGUGGGUGGAGGAAGCAGCAUAGUCAGCCCUGUGUGACGUCUUGGUGACGUGUUCUUUUUUAUUUUUAUUUUUAUAUAUUCAUGGGCCGCGAGCCUCUGCCGUUUGGUUUUGGGCCGGGGGCUGCUGGCUGGCUCGUUUCAUGCCGCUGUUGCAUCCUUGGAACGGCCCGUAUUCAAAUUAGUUACUCCAUCGAGGAAAAACUCCACUUUAACUCCCUUAAAAAAGUACUCCCUCCGUAUUUUAAUGUAUGACGCCAUUUGACUUUUCGACCAACAUUUAACUAUUUAUUUUAUUCAAAAUUUUUGUGCAAAUAUGAAAAUAUUUAUAUCAUGCUUAAAGAACAUUUGAUGACAAAUCAAGUCAUAAUAAAAUAAAUGAUAAUUACAUAAAUUUUUUGAAUAAGACGAAUGGUCAAACAUUGGAUAAAAAGUUAACGGCGUAAUACAUUAAAAUAUGGAGGUAGUAACUUGAAUCUAAAUCGUAUAGGGCGAUUCCCCGAACUGAAACUGUAGCUAACCAAAAUAAAAGUUGAUGUAUCUCGUUUCGUAGGAAGUGAAACUGUAGCACAAUCAUCAUGUUGGAGGGAAGCUUGAACUAUACAUGUGUUUCCAGUUUAACAACAAAAGCUGAGAACUAUGGUCUUCCCAGUCUAGCAACAAGAAAACUUCAGUUGCAUAAAAUCACCUGGAGAAUCCCCUUAAGAAGGAUAAUCAGAUAAAAAGGACUUUAAGAUUUGUAAUCACCAUGGAUGAAAUUUUUUUUAUGUGACUGUUACAAGUUUAUUCUCCCUUCAAAAUUUUUUGGGACAAAUAGAACACUUCAAUGCUUCUUAAUUAAUACUCCCUCCGUCCCAAUACAAGUACAACUAAUAUAGCAUCUAGAUUCAUAAUACUACGAUGUCACAUCUAUACUAGGUUGCACUUGUAUUAGUACAGAGGGACGGAGGGAGUAAUAAGCGAACUUAUGGUUUAUAAAUCAUCAAUGGUGACUAUUGCAUCCAACAUGAAGAACUGCAGAGACUACAAAUUAAUCAUCUUCCAGCUUGCCAGUUCUAAUCUAAAAACUUAGAAGGAAAAAUGAAAACGAAGGCAUCAGGUAUCCACUCAAGCAAACUCGAGGAAUGCAAAGAUAAGGUACCAUUAAGCAAAUAAAAGAUUAAUCAAUAUCAUUGCACUGCGGAAGUAAUAAGCAUUAUGCCUAGAGAUUGCCUGCAAUAUAAAUGGGGCGUCGCCGGUAGAGAUCAAAGCAUCACAUGACAAAAAACUGGAGACAACAGCGCGCUUUUGUCCCAGAAUUACAUAAAACAAUUCACUGUUAAAUUUGUCAUUGUUCACAUGUUCAAAGGAAGCUAAGUGAAAAAAAAAAGAGGCAUUUGAUAUAAGUAGUCCACUUCAGGUGCUGCCAUGCUACUGCAUCUCAAACCGUUUGGCGAUGAUCACGCUCAUGUCAAGGAACCUCUGAGCGCAGUUGGUCAGGCAAGUCGUUUCCCCGGAGCUGAACUUGCUUCCUGGAGUGCUGGUGAUGCACUUGUCCCAGCACACGCUUGUGAGCUUGCCGACCAUCUCGCUCACCAUUGCCUUCUGCUGCUCUUGCUGCAGAGUUAUAUUCAGGUAAGAAUCAGCUGUGAACUUGUAAGAGAUAUCUAAAGGGUCAGCAUCAACUGAACAUACUAGUUAUAGUUGACACACAAGAAACAGAUUUCUCCUAUGCUCAUCAAUCCCAACAUCAACAUAUAUGGUGCCAUGUUUUAAAAUAGCAUGGGCCUAUGCAUUAAACAAAACUAUGGCGAGAAAAAAAAAACAUAUGUAGAAUAAUCGUGCAUAAUUGGUUUGUUCACGGCAGGAUUUUUCUAGUUCUAUGAAGCAUGAUGCAAUGCACAAAUCUGGCGGUAUUCCUGUAGAGAAAUUAAGUAGCAUGACUGUGUUGCUUCGAAGGAUCAUUCCUUCAAAUAUUUUGAUACAACUAGGUGGUCUACAUGUACAUGGAGAUUUCAAUGAACCAGAUAAGGAACCAUCAGUUCCAAUCAAAACAUGUGACAAGUGGAGAUACAAACUAAUGGCAUAUGUGUAGGCUCGACAAUCCUGAAUCCCCACAAUAGAGGACAGUAAAUGCCCCAACUGAGCAACCUACUCAUGAAUAAAUUAACAAGUAUUCCCAUGAAUAAAUCAUAAAUUUACAUCCUUCACUCCACAUCGCAUCGUCAUGCUUCGUCUAAACAGAAAACUUCAGAUCCGGAGCUACCUAAUCGCACCAACAAAAGUAAAGUGGGACAAAUCCCAUCCCACUUUCACAACACAAAACGCAUAGAGCUAAGCAGUCGGUGCUCGGUGAAUCAAUCACCCACAUGACCAAAAAUACACCGAGACGGAGCCCUAAAAUUCAGUAACAGAGUAGUACACGCCCCCACGGCACCACACGAGAUCAUAAGCCGCGGCAAGGAGCACUCACCUCGAUGAAUCUCUGCAUCUCGGCGGAGUUCUCCAUGGCUCCGAGCCUCCAAAAACCUAAAACCCUAGCUACGCUUUUGCUUGGAGCCGACGAGAAGGGGAGGAAUCGCGAAGCCGCCGCCGCCGCCGUCGUCUUGCUUGGUAUAUCAUCUCCACGAAGCGGCUUUAUUGGGCCAUAUACGGGGGCCCUUAACGGGCCGGGCCGGGACCGACCAUGUGGGCCUCCACUUGAUCUAGGCCCAACGUGAGCCCAUCUGCAAGACGGAAUAUUCGGUGUCCGAAACGGAAUAUCCAUUCGAAUGAUCCCUCCGCCACGGUGGAACAUUCCAACGCCGUGAUGUCUCUUUGUCUAAAAAUAUUCAAAUCCUUUUCUUCGCGUCAACCAACCAACCACCGCAAGGUCCACGCCUCCUCCACCAAUGGCGCUCCCGGCGGCGACGGCCCGCGCGGCGGCGCUGUGCCGGAUCGCGGCGUGCGCGUCGGCAUCGUCGGCGGCGGCGGCGGCGACCGGGGGGAGGCGCGGGGCGGAGAAGCUGCCGUUCUCGCUGGCGGAGCGGGGGAUGGUGGUGGGGGGGCACCGCGGGAUGGGGAUGAACGCGGUGGGGGCGCCGCCGGGGGCGCGGAUCGAGGCGGUGAGGGAGCGGGAGAACACGCUGCUCUCGUUCGGCCGUGCCGCCGCGCACGCCGCCGUCGCCUUCGUCGAGUUCGACGUCCAGGUAUAUAUAUGCAGCGCAGCCGAGUUCGACGUACGUGCUUCCAUUUCCACGUUGUUGGUAGUACCUGUGUUUGUUUUGGACUUUGAAUUGGAUGUCAGUUUAGGCUUUGGAUUGGUUGGUUUUGACACCGCAGCAUCGCAAUGCAAGAUUUGGAAGCUAGCGUGCGUAUGACUUGGAUGUAGCUACUGAUUGGUGUGGUGCUGGACAUGAAAUUUGCUAAGUACACAAGUAUAUUGCAAGCAAUGUUCUAGCCAGGGAACUACAUGGGACAAGCCUCACAAGUAGGAGUAUCAAUUUAAUCGCAUUUAACAAGGAUCUAGAUGCCACCAUGCUAAAUUGGUCAAGAAUGAAGAAUGGAGCGAUUUUAGGUGGAUGUUUUGCAGGGAUGUAGCAGAUAUCCAUUAGGCAGGUGCUAGGAUUUGAAGUUGCAGUUCUUGUUUUGAGCUGCGGACGUUCUUAAUACAUUGCCAACUACUCUUAGAUCAUAUUGCAUUGGUGAAAUCAAGUCGUUGGCACUGGGCCAGCAAUCAAUAGGAUUCAUUCUCUUCCAAUUUUUUUGAUUGGUACAAUUGAUUUCAGUUUGAGCAUACAGUUAUCCUGAUGUACUGAUUACCCUUUUGCCUUGCAGGUUACAAAAGAUGGCUGCCCAAUAAUCUUCCAUGAUGACUUCAUCCUAACACAAGAAACUGUAUGUUCCUUUCUGCUCAUUCUCUUCAUUGUUAUGCUCGGUUUACGUGGUACCCUGUUCAUCUAUGGCAGGAAGAGCGCCUGACUCUUGAUUGUUCUUGCAAGAUGUGUAGGAUGCAGUCUAUGCAAAGCGUGUUACUGAUCUUCUCUUGGAAGAAUUUCUUUCAUAUGGGCCGCAAAAGAAUUCCCAUGAGGUGAUUUACUCCUUUUUUUGUUGGCUUCUGCUGUGCCAAGUUCAUGGUUAUGAAUGCAUUUUUGAGAUGCCAUUUUGUAAACUUGCCCUUAUGUUGAUUGUUCAGAUCUCCAAGCCAUUGCUUAGACGGACCAGCGAUGGUAGAGUUGUUAACUGGAGCGCAAAAGAUGAUGAUUCCCUAUGCACAUUGCAAGAAGUCUUUGAACGUGUCAGUCCUCGUCUAGGAUUUAACAUUGAGCUAAAGUUUGAUGAUGACAUCUUCUAUGAAAGGAGUCAACUUGACCGUGCGCUUCAAGCUGUAUUGCAAGUAUGGUUUGUUUCCUUUGUUCAUGUAACACGAUAUCAAUUAAUUCACAUCCAGUAAUUUGGUCACUGUGAGGUGAUGACCAUAACACCAUCAUAUGCUUUUUGAUAGGUUGUUUCUCAGUAUGCAAGCAAUAGGCCUGUAUUUUUCUCAACCUUCCAUCCUGAUGCGGCAAGGAUUAUGAGGGAACUUCAGAGCUUAUAUCCUGUAAGUAUUAUUAGAAACCUCUCAUAUUACAUAUAUGAAUUGUAAGGUCAAAAUGUCAAAUGUUUCCUCAGCAUUUUAACUAGCUGUAAUUUCGGUAGUUUCUUUGACACAAGUGAAGAAAAGAAAAAAAAUCUUACAUUAGCAGGUCUGUAACUUCCAAACUGAAUAUCAAAACCUAUAAACCUUGUGCAGAACAAUCAGGUUGCAAACUCGUGAUGCACUUGUAUUUCAGCCUUCUUAUUACACCAUAUAUCUUUCGGGAUGUAGAGACCGAGUUUUAUUUAAUCCAUUAUCUAAAAAAAUUACACCAUAUAUCUGGUAGUUACUUGGGAAAAAAUGAUCAUACGUAGAAGAAAUUGAAGCACACCCAAUAAUUUAAACACAGCAGACUCUAAAUACCUUCUUAUGAUGAGAAGUAGCCGAUUACGAAUUUUCAUUGACCUGCAAAAUGGAUGAGAAAUGUAUGUAAAUGCAGACAGCUUCAGUGUAAACCAAUACUUUCUUAUUUCUUUUAGACUGACAUUUCUGAUGUUAGAUUGCACGGUUUUAUAUCCAAUCUGGAUGUGUAACCAUUAGCAUUUAGUAAAACGUUGAAUAGGUCUUAUCAUCAUCCUUAUUUCUCGCACUCUUGCAUUAGGUACUCUUCUUAACAGAAGGAGGAACAGCUCAACACAAAGAUUCAAGAAGGAACUCACUUGAUGAAGCUAUCCGGGUCUGCCUAGAGUACGAGUUGCAUGGACUUGUAUCAGAGGUAAGAGGGGUUUUAAAGAAUCCCUCUGCAGUCCUUAGAGCAAAAGAGUCCAACCUUGCACUUCUGACCUAUGGGCAGCUCAAGUAAGCAGCAUAUUUGCCUAGUGUUCCUUCUGUUAUGUUGGCGCUGCUCUUUUUUUCCUCAAUCAUCUUUAUUCGUGGGUUUGCUGGUGGAUUUGCAGUAAUGUGUGGGAGGCUGUGUACAUCCAGUAUUUGAUGGGCGUAAAUGGCGUUAUUGUUGAUCUAGUGGAGGAGAUCUCAAAUGCUGUGGCAGAUUUCAGUAAACCAGUCCUCAAUCAGAGCAUGCUAGGGAGUGGUGUCGACUUGGUUGGAGCAAAGCAUCAGGCCUUCUCACAGCAGCAGCUGGGUUUCUUGCUCUGGCUUAUACCUGAACUGAUCCAGCAACCACACUGAUAAUACAUAAUACCCAAGAACAAGAGGUGGUUCAAUUGGCUGAGUUUUGAGAGGUGUUUCAGGCCCUUGUCUUCAGUUGACCAUUCAGAUGAACUUACACUAGUUAGAACUUAGAAGAUCAAAAGAUACUAUUGCAUUGUUCUGUAUAGAAUCAAAACUCCACUCAUCAUUGGCUAAUUCCGUUACUGCCGAUCGUCGGCCAUAGCUUUGUUGCAGAUAUGUUCAUCACAACUUAACCAAUAUACACGUACAGCAAUGUAUUGCCACGCUUUUACAACACAGAGCAGUGUAUUUCAGCGGGUUGGGCUGCUUUCAUAUGAUCUGUAAAAUGUUGAGUUGUGAUAUCCUGUUUGCAGAUUCACUCUGUUUCCUCUGUGUGCCCAUUGCUUUCUUGCAGUAGAACUGUCAACUAAGCUGCAGGCACAACAGAAGAAUUUUAUCUGAAGGCAACACACAUAUAUAGUUGAAGUAACAGUAGUGAUGAGCAAAAUCAACACGUACAGUUUACUGAAUGGCAUGGCAAGUUGUGAAAUCUCUUCAGCAAGAAAUUGGGACGUUCUCACGUGCAGCUCAAAUACGAUUAAGCCUGUUCCAGUCACAAAUUUAUACUGCAAAAACAAAGCAGGAAGCAGCAGAUUGUGCGUGUGCAGGACAUGUCUGACAAUCAGGCAUUUUUUUUCUCUCUGCAAUGUACACAGAUUUGAGAACGUGGGGAUGACUGCUCAUUGUCCCCAUGGCGACCUCGACUGAAUCACUGAUGAACCAACAAUUGCUUCAUUCAUGCUGUGUCCCCUUCUCUGAACCUGGACAGAGGCCUUCUCUGAACCUGGACAGAGGAAAGCUGUUUGCAGAUUGCAAGAGAUUAUGUGGUCUUUAUUAAUAUACAGUAUUUCAGAUCUCAUCUCCUUGUGCGACCUGGCAAUUAAAGAAAGAGAAUUAUGAUCUUGAUGAAGGGUGAAAGAAUCAAAGAAAUACUAGCUACACCUAUCACUGUCCGUGUUCUCCGAUUUGUCCCUCCACAGGGUUUGCUUAAUCUGGUUUAGAUGUAUACAAACCCUGCGCCACCGACGCGUCGGCGAGCAGAGCCUGACGGGAGACCGGAGACGGCAAUCCAUCAAGCAAACAGCAGCAGCGUGGCAGUCGACGGCGGUGGUGGAUCUAGGUCUUUGUAGGGGAAAAAAAAAGAGAGGAUAGUUUCCGUCCACCCUGGAGGAAAAGAUCACAUAUACCUUUUGAAACGGAUAAUUCUCGUAUAAUUUGGAUAUUGAUACGGAUAUGAUAUUGUGGUUUUUAACGGGUACGGAUAAUAAUAUAAAUAUCUCGUGAACAGUGCUAUCGGAUAUACUUACUCCAUUUCUCUAUAACUUUAUGACCUUAAAUCUACCUUUUUAGAUUUUAAAUAGUAGUACAUAUUUUAACAUUAGUCCACACUAUUAAUAUUAUUUAAAUUUAAAUAUUUUAAUAAAUUAUACUAUAUUUUAUAUAGAAAACUAAUUAUAUACGAUGACAUUUGUUUAUAUUAGAAGUUGAGGUGGUUUCUGUGUUUCGAGAAAAAAGUAUUUCCUUAUUCAUAUUCAAGAGAAUUCAUAUUUGUUUCUGCAUCUGAACUAUUCGUAUUUAUUUUUGCAUCCAAAAAAGAAAAUAUAAAGACGAAUAUGAUAUGAGCAUUCGUCUGUAUUAGCUCUGUUUUUAUCCCUAUGUCGCGGAAUAAACAGCAGGGACUUUUAUGUGAAAAUAUUUGGACCGCUACGUUCGACUUAGGGCCUGUUUACUUGGAUGAAAAAAAAACUUAUCAAACUUUGGCAUUGCAAAAAUUUUGGUAUAGUUACCAAAAUUUUGGUAACUUGCCAAAAUUUUGGCAGGAUUUCUUAUAUAGUUACAAAAAUUUGGCAGCAAACUAAAUGUAGCCACUUUUUUUAACUUUACCAAAACUUGGUAAGGUUAAAAAUGGCAUCAAAGUGAACAGGCCCUUAGUUAGGGGGUUUUUGUGUAAAACAUCAUUUCGUUAUGAAUGGCCCAAAAUCAAAUGAGGGGUCAUCUUGCAAAAUACAAAAGGGAGUAUACUACGCCGUUGGAUCUAACACGAACGGCUCAGAUAUUCAGCUUUCCUUCCUCCCGUAAUCCCCGCCGUCUCUCUCUCCUCGCUCCGGCGGGUUGGCCGGUCGCCGGUUGCCGGAGCCGCCUGCCCUGCCCUCUCCGGCCGGCGGGAAGCCGCCAUUAUCGCUGGUGGAACGCGGCGUUGACCGAGGGAUGCGGGUGGAGGGCGGCCCGGCCGCAGAACGGGGGAUGAAUGCGGUAGGGGACGCCGACGGCGGCGGUGGCUAGGGUUGGGGAACUCACUGCUGCUCUCCUUCGAUCGCGCCGCCGUUGCCCGUCGUCGAGUUGGGCGACGACCAGGGGCAGGUAUACAUGCCUCGUUCCCCAUCAUUUCCUGCCAAUUUUGUACCUCUUCUGUUCAGAUGUCGCCGUAGUGAUCGUAGUGUGGUUGAUCAGUUUGAUCAAUGUUGAUUGUAUGGAAGAACACCCAGAUCCCUUCAUAAAUUUGGAGCUAUAAUAAUUUGGUGAAUUGAUUGGUGUGAUGAUAACUGACUACUAACUCUAAGAUGGAGAUCACAAUGAAUUGCUAGUUUGCUACUGCUCAUUUUCUGUGCUAGUUCUUGGCUUACUACAAAUUAACAAUGCAAAAGAAACAGAAGGCGGCAGCAGCAGCAGCAAGUGCUUGUGCAGUACAUGUGCUUGCUCAGGUGGCUACAAAGGUCGGACACACUCGUGGAUCGCAAUAGCUCUCUCUUAAGUCCUAAGGAACUAUAUAUGGUUCUACAUGUUCCCAAAUCACAGGCAUUUUUUCUCUGCAAAGUACAGGUUCAAGCACAUGGACCUGAUUGCUCAUUGCCUCACCCUGCCGACCUCAACCGAAUCAUUGAUGAACCGCCAAGUGUUUCUUUCAUGUGGCACUUCAAUAAACAUGGACCGGGAAAAAGAUGUUUUGCAAAUUGCAAGUGACUCACUCCACAUGCAUUUUUGGUCAGCACAAAAGAAAGCAAACACAUCUGCUUAUGCUGCUGCUGCUGCACUUGUGAUUGUUCUUCCUUCUUUAAUAUUUCAGCUCUCUCACUAAAGAACGAAAUGGUCUUGAGGAGGAGCCUCACAACAGCUGAAACAAUAGACUGCCUAUCACUGUCUGUCCUCUCUGAUUUGUGCCUGCAGGGUUUGCUUAACCCGGUUUGGAUUAUAUAAACUCUGUGUGAACAGCAUGUCAGUGAUCGAAUGCCACGCCUAUCAGCAGACGACAAUGGAGGAAAGGAAAGGGGAGGAUCGUUGGUCAAUCCAUCUCAGGGCUCCUCUGGCUUCCCUCAAGACAAAGGCAUCAGGCUAAUUUGUCUUCCCCAACCCUUGCCUGGAUUCUUGAUGGGGUCCUUGGCUUCUUUCAGCUCCCAAUAAUUUCCUACUAGUAGCAAUAGACAAGUGGGUGCCCCUUUGUAGAUAGACCAUAGACGGCCAAGGGUUACAGAGUUGCUUCAUGGACAAGGCCAACACAGAUUAGUCAGAGGCAUGCACCCCCACUCCAAAGGCAUUGACAGUGGGCUGCACUGUGUGGGGGCUAUGAAAGCAACCUGAAAAGGGAUUUUUCAUGGUGUGGUGCAAAUGUGAUGCAUCAUGCUUUGAAGAAAAGGAUGCUAAUUCAAGGCUUUAGCUUUCACUAAUGGGGGUUUUCAAUUCCUAAUGUUCACAUUGCUAUGGUGGUGUUGUGAGUAAAAACUGUGCUGUGAUGCUGAACGGGAGAUGGCUUCCUAGGGGGGAAAAUUUCUGAAUUUCCAUAUCUUCCUAUGAUUGAUCUUUACCUACCUCCGAUGGGUAGAUUGCUUUCUUGAUUGCUUGCUUGCUUAUUCUCUGCAAGAUUUGAGGUUUUUCUUUUUGUUGAAGGAAGAAGUGUGACAUCACCUCACGCUAGAUUUGAUUAGACUUGAUGAACGACCCCCUCCUAAUUCAUUAACACAUCAGGAUCUCUAAAUCCAUAUGUUCUCACUGGUCCAACCUUCAAGGCUUCAAAAAACAAAUGAAAAAUCUGGUCAUGACAUCGCGUGUUGUUCAACCGAUAUCGUUGACGACAAAUCGACAAAUAACAUAUUAUCAAUUGCUAGUAUUUUGGUACCUGCGCUUUUUUGUUGUCAACCAUGGUCAAUUUAUGGAUUCUGUCAAGUGUCAACAAUAUUGCCUAGUGCUUGCCCUAAGUGUUGAAGGUGACCUGUUGCUUGGCCAGCCAAACUUCUGCCUAACCCUGUCCCUAUUUGUGAACUGAAAUCUGAUUGUAUGCAUUCAUCUUAUAGUGGCUUGUUAGUGUAUUUUCCUGUUGUUCUCUGCUACUAUCUGAUUUCUAUGCUUUCAAAUUUCAGACCCACCAUGUGCAGCUAUGUACCUAAAAUUGGUCAGUUUUUUGCCUUUGAUGAAACGAUGGUAUGGAGUUGUAUUUUCUAGUGACCAUGAGAAGAUUGUAGUUGACAUAUUCUGUGUAUAAGCAUUUUGAGGUAGGUAAGAGGACCACGGUAUCUUAAGAAUAUUUUAAAUAGUGUAGCUUAUUUAGACAGAGUAUGUUUUUAGGUUAUGGAAGCUGAAAGAGCAUUUUUAAUCAUUUGACUAAUGUUUUCAACUAUCUAAUGAAAUCAAAUGUUGACAUAUUUGGCAGGGACAGGUUAAGGAGUUCAUCUCCUGCGUGAAGUAAAGGGCUGCCUUGUCCAAACUUUGUUCCUAAUUAGCUAAGCUCUAUGUUGACUUGUCCCUGAUUGACAACUUGACAGGUACAUAUCUUUUCCUUUUUAAAUAAGGGCGUAAUGAUAUUUCCCCCUCUUUUUCAAAGAAAAAUUGCACAUAAGCUAUGUCCUAAGGUGAACCAAUUUGUGCAUCCUAUGUGUUUUGGUUUAGACUUAUAUUAGUGGGUCCAAGACAGUAGACGAUUAGGUACUGAAGUGCAUAGCCUUUACUUCUUCAAGCACACAAACAGAACAUUGAUAUAGAUUAACUUUAUGAUGCUUCAAGCUAAGUAGCUUCUGUUAUUGCACAAUUGACUGUCACAACGCUGAGGGCUUUUAAGGAAAGAUGGUUCCACCGGAUCUGAUUGUUUGGUUAGUAAGCUUGAAAUCCUUUACUUAAAACCCUGUUAACUGAAGAAAACCAAGUCGUCCAAGUCUAUUUUGUAAGGAAUGUGAGUCAUCACUGGCAGACAAUUCCAAUCAGAGCUUUACAACUGUCUUAGACUUGGCCUGACCUACGAUAAACUAUUUCUAAUACUAAAAACAAGAUUACUAAGUCUCCCUGGAUCACACUACUCACUAGGUCAUGGAAUAUGCUUGCAUUGAAAAAAAAAAGCAUCUUUGUGGCUGCAUGCUUGUUGGAUAUUACCUCCAUGUUAUAAUAUAUGACGCUGUUAACUUUUUGACCAACGUUUGGCCAUUCAUCUUAUUCAAAAUUUUUGUGUAAAUAUAAAAAUAUUUAUGUCAUACUUAAAGAACAUUUGAUGAUAAAUCAAGCCACAAUAAAAUAAAUGAUAAUUAUAUAAAUUUUUUUGAAUAAGACGAAUGAUCAAACUUAUCUCAAAAAGUCAACGGCAUCAUAUAUUAAAAAACGGAGGGAGUAUAUAUUAGCAAAAGGAUUAAGAAGUGCAACAAGAUGAGAAGAGUUAAUAGAAAGUCUUGACCCCGAGGCAGGGCAAAGAAUGUGACACUACUUGCAAACAGAGAAGAGAUGCCAUGAAAAGCCAAACACAAAAGAUAACUGACCUUUCUCUAGUUGUCACCACAGUAUAUGCUACUCCCGAUUAGAAGCAAUUCCUUUGACCAAUCCGGCUACGUGAACGCGCUAAUUGGCCUGCACUGCCUUGGCUAUAUUGGAUUGCCAAACCUUUAUGCAAAAGUGAAAAAAGACCAAAUCAAAAGGGGAGAGAAAAAUGCCAUUGCCACCAUGUAUGAACAUAGGAUGAACAAAGGGUAGCCGCAAUUUCAGUUAUAGUUGAGAAUGAACAGAGUUUGUACUUUCUACUCAUGGAAUCGUAUGAGCACCGAGUACGUACCUCAUGGUACUUUUCUUGCUUCAGUUGCAUUGCCUCAAGAGGCACAUAACUAGCUUCUGUUAGAUUUUUCCUUCGAUUAAAAACCAGCUUCUUCUAGACUACUCUAGAUUCUAGAACCUAAGACAUACAGGAGACUUUUGGAUUAUAACCAUUUCUUUUGAAUCUUUUUUUUAAUACGCAAAAAACUCGCAUAUCUUUUAUAUUAAGGAAGGAGUUUGUAUACACCGCGCUAACUAUAAAAGAGAAAACAACAGAAAAAGGGGAAAACUCAGAAGGCUACAGUAGGUCUAUCUCCUGCAGCCGAUUUUCCCGACUAAAGAGGGGCGACGUGCUUGCGUUAGAUGGGUGUUCUGGCCAUGCGCCCGAGCGCAGGUUCUUUUGCCACGUCUCGAGCCACCUCGGCCUAGGUUCUAGAUUGGUUGUUUAAAACGACCCUGUUUCGCUCCUUCCGAAUGAUUUAUUCUAAUAUAAAUCGGUGAAAUUCUAACGCUUUAACCCAUCCUAAUAGUUUCAAAAAUAUUGUGUGCUAUUACAAGAAUGGGUAUUUUUUAAGGACCAAAUCAAACUUUUAAAUAUAUCCCAAUACCCAGGGUAAAAUCAAGGGUUCUUCUAUUGCAGACUACAGCAAGAAUAUGGGAUAUCAUAAAAUUGGCAUGGAUAUUACAUCGUGGAUUAAUUUAACUGAAACAAGUUAAUUGCUAUAUGCGUGCGGUAAUUUACAUAAACAUCAGGUAAUGCAUAGCAGUGGUGUCUAUGUAAGUCUAGGAUAAGAGAGGUUACCGCUGCAAUAUACCUUGCUUGCCCGGGAGUUCAAGUUGCUUCUUGUCAACUUGAAAAAACUGACGUGAUGAUGGCAUGUGAUCCGAACGCCAUUGCCUCUGGUUCAGAGCUGUCAGCAGCAGAAGAAAAGUUGUCAACAAAAGGCAAUUGCCCUUUGCUGGAUGUGAAACUUCGCAUCUUCACUUUGCAUGCUAGCUACUAGUGUUACUUUGCAUGUAUCCCUUUGAUAAAAAAAAAAAAGCUUGUAUGUUUGCCUCCACUACCAUAUAUGCUGCUAAGAAAAUAUGUCUACAUGAAUUGAUCAUGUAAACAUCAUACAAUUAUUUGGACAAAGAAAGAAAUUCAUGCAUUCCAUGUAAUACUCCUAGCUAGGUUUGAUUUCAGUCCAUGUCUAGGUUAGUAGACAAAUAUUUGCUAGUGAUGCAUCUGCGAUAUGGUUAGGGUGAGGACGGUCUUCGCUCCCGUCAACACAGUUUGCAUCUACAUAGUCUAUAGGUGCUUCUUUCAUAAUAAGAGUAAUAUACGACUCUCAUUGUCUGCUUGUUGGUUUAUCGGCUAGAGUCAAAAUUUGAAUUUUAAAAUAUAGAAUUUUAAAAUUUAGAGUUAUUUCUUUUUGGGGGGAGGGGGAGGGGGUGGGUCAUUGCAGUCUACUGUAGUUUUUGGUUGUUUCGUUUUUUUACUCAAUAUGUGUGCUCGGUAGAAAACCCAUGUUGAAGGCUGUGAAAUCUCGCAGAAAUUCUAAUGUAUGGAGUGAACCGUGGAUGCGUUUAUGAGUAUGCAUAGGUGUGCAUGUUUGUAUACGUGGCGUGAGCUGUUCUUGCGUGUGGUAUAUGUCCUUACUGUGCACUAUUCAGAAACAGGAGAUAAAUGUUUAUGGUGGUCCUCAAUUCACUAUCUAAAUUUUAAUAUUUGACCCUUAGAUCUCCCAUAAUAAUUGAUAGAAAACUGUACUCCCAGCUGUACUUUUGUACACACACUAGAUUAGAGGAUUAAGCUCUAAGUAAUAUGUCCAAGUCUUUUUCAUCGUACUAUUGUAAAGGGCCAACAAGGGAGCGUGUAUUGCGGGAAAGUAAAGGAAAAACAGAUUUUUUUUAAAAAAAAAGUAGAGGAUUCACACAUCCAAUGGUCAUGCCUUUCCAAUCCCCCUCAAAUUGGAAAAAGUUCUAACCAUACAAAAUACUGUUCAGUUUUAUGACAACACGCUUGAUUUUUUUUUCUUCUUUUUAUAUAUAUUGCACUUGAUCAGUCUCAUCGUCCUGCCUUGAUCAUUUGAUGUAAUCACUUCGAGCAGCAGAUUGACUGUGCUCACAUGUUGGCACUGUCUGUUUGCUCCCACAUUGGAAAGCUAAGGCUCUCAAUCAUUUGGUUGCACGGUUUAUAUUGUCAUAUUCUGGGGCCCUCAUUUUGCUGUCUUACAUAAUCACUUGAAUUAGUGUUUUUAGGUGAAACACCAUUGCCUGUCUCAUCAAAGAUAACAAAAUGGCUAAAUGGUACAUUAAUACACCUUUUAGGCUAAAUAUAUGAUAAUAUAUUCUUCUUAAAAUCAUCCCUGGCAUACAUGCGACAUCAACGGCUUUUUCUCUCUCUCCUCCACAUUAGGAUUUGCUGAUAUAGGAUUAUGACAUCUGAGUUGGCCUAAUUCUACAUGUCCUAAGGAAUGGAAAUGGACAUCCAGCUGGGUUUAUUGUACUAGCCAUUAAGAACAUUUUUUUUAGGCUAAUUAUUCCUUAGUUUGAGGGAGGGGCAACCCAAUGAGCCGGGAUAAAGGGAUAAGCAACCAAUGAUUGGUCCCUUUUGGUCCAAUCAGAAACCCAAUAAAAUCUCUACUCAUCCUUUGGGAGAAAGUGGUGAAAGAAAAUAAAACUAAAAUAAAAGAAGAGGCAAUUGAAGGUGAGGGUCCCAGCAGGGGGCACUAGCUAGCAAGUAGUAGGAAGCAUGCAGUUUGUUUAGCGUCACUGUCUGCCAUUGCUACAGACAUUUCGCAUUCACUGGCGUCGUGUGGCCGGCGAGCCAUCGAGUGCAAGGAAACGUAUACACUGACCUCUGAUUGGAUUCGUCGUCGUCUAAGGCGUUGAGGUGGAUCUUGUGUAAGCAUGCCAUCAUCUAUGUUUUUCCCCUUCAUUCCUUUCUCAUCUUCUCUUAAUUUCUUCAUACAUCAUCUACUCUUACUUUCUUCGUACUAGUAACAUGCCCGAGCAUUGUAACGGGCUGGAUGUGGCGUAGGCAAGAGCCCUAGGCUUGCCUCCGCAUAAAUAUGUCUGGAUCCUUUUAAACCAGUGUAUUUUUUGACAAAGCCAAUAUCCUAUUAGUUAAGCUUUACUCGAGCUCUAGGAUUAGAAAAUUUCUGGCUCCGCCGACCCAUACAACAGGAUGGAUGGGCUGGGAGUAUGGAUCGAGCAUAAAACACUGAAUUUAACCAGUUUUUUGGGUUAAUUAACCAACCAUUUAGGUUUUCGCACUUGCGUGAUUUGGGAAGGAGUGAGCGGGCGACUCCAAUUUUAAGUGAUAGAGAAUGGACUAGUAGGACCAAUUGCUAAUUAACUCAGGAUGGUAUUAUGUGAUGCUGCAGGGAUUUUUAUGGCCUUAAGUAGACAGCACAUAUCAUUCUGUUCCUUUGAAAGUGAAAGCUAUAGUUUUAAUUUUGGGAUUUAAUUUUAAGAAUAAUUUUAGGUGGUAUUUUUUCUACUCAUCGUCCCAAAGCAGACAUACUAAUACCAUGCAUACUGAGUUUAAUAUUGUUAACAUUACAUUCAAAUAACUAAAAGCACUUUUGGUAGGCAUCUUUUGUACGGCACCAGUACCCUCUAGCUUGAGAUAGUGUCAUCCUUAUAUAGAGCUAGCCAGUGCCAUCCUUAAUUUAUAUAGAAUUGCUUCAUAUUAUGCAUAGAUAAAAUUUACAAUUGUGGCUCUGUCAACAAAGAUAAUCCGUUGACAUUGGGCAAAGAUUUUGUGGUUGUUUUCGCAGCAAGUUGGUUGAAAAAUGUUACGGAAGCCAUGCAAAGAAAAGGAACUAUACUUCAAGGAAGGCAAACAGAAGAAGUUACUGUUUGGAACAAAAGAUUCAACCUUGACCUCAGCAAUAUACUACACCACUUUUUACUGAGAAAAAAAAAGGAUGUUGUCACAAAUUUCUUGUGAACAACUCACAGAAAGUCACUGCGUAAUAAUUAAUUUCACUUUUACUUAAAAGAAAGAGGCUGACACAAAGUUCUUGUGACAAAUCCUGAUAUGUCAAUGUUGAGAGGGUGCUCAUGAAUUUCCUUAUCAUGAGAUAGCCUAAAUAUUUUUUUACAAAAAGAAAUAUGUAAGCUCUGCCUCGUUUCAUCCAAAAAGAGAUAGUACACUAAUAAUGCGGAGGGGACAAUAGAAUCAAAGCAGAUUAAGGACCUAGAAAUUGUUUCAUCAAAGGGCUAAAUGACAGAAUUCAUAUAGUAAAGAGACCAAUUCUUCGUACGUGUAGAAUCGAUUGGGAUAACUAACUGGCCAAAGCAACGUACUGAGUAGAUGUCGUCAUGGACGGCAGGUUAAACAAUUUAAUCUAAAACAACUGCAAUUAAGCAUGCAGUACUGUCACUAUUGUCUAUUGAUGUACCGUGUUGGAGCUAGUUACUUCAGACUUGCAAAUAUUAGUUUUGUCACCCUAAUGGCGACAUGCAGACCAAUGCAACCAUUUUACGUGGCCUGUUUGCUUGCUUCAAUCUGACAUUCUGACCUAUGCUUGUUGCUUUGAUGUCACUAGUAGCUAACUAAGUAGUAUAUUCUUUGCUGCUAGUGUAGCUUUUUGAACUUAUAUAUUAUUUACCAGGAAGUAAUCAAGAUGUAUUCAUUAGCUGGUCAGUCACUAGUUAAUUACUUUGUGCAUGCUUUUGUAUUGGUAUUGUGGAAGAAAAGAUUAGCUAAGAGAAGGGAGAAGAGUAAAACCCACGUUAUAUUAUCAACUUACAUUAUUCUAAAAUUUUAACUAGUCCUCUUCAACCAUGGGUAUAACAAAUCAGAGGAAGAUAGGAGAUUGUACAAGGACAGCUCCACACUAAUGUUUGAGUUUGACAGCAAUAUAAUGCUAUGCACAUGUUCUUAAUUAUUUGAAAACUUGUUAGGAAAAACUAGCAAUCAACCUGCCAAACCUAAGCUAAGCUAGCUAGCCAUGCACUGCAAGCUAUUGCAAAGCUUUUAUCCCAACUCUUAAGUGUGGCACAUAUAUAGUUUUAGGUUUAUAUUUAUGAAAACCUAGGUUAACACAAAAUAUGUGCAUGCAAAUGUGGGCCCAACAAGCACCUUGGAGUGGGCCCCACAUCCAAUGUUUUAGUGGAAAGGUGUUGCUCAAAAGAGGGGAGGAAAGAAAGGGUUAAGGUAGAGAGGUUGCCCUAAGCUAGCAAAGCUAUAGCUAGCGCAAAAGAGGAGCAAGAAAAGGAGCAGAGGAAUAUAUAAAAAAAAUGCAUCAUUGCAGUUGCAGUGCAGCUAGCCACACGAUCGAAUGAUCGAUCGAAGAAUACGAUGCCCCUCCAAAUCUGAUCCUGCAUGCAGCUAGCUUAGCUUAAUCAGUUACUUUUUUUUUGUGUUUUGGCAAUGAGCAUAAUUAGUUACUUGCACGAUUUGAUCGGCGACAGAGUUAAUGGCUGGUGCUGAUUGAUCGAUUUGAUUAAUUGAUUGUACUCAGGAGAUGCUGCGUGCGUGCCUGCAUGAGUCCAUGGAUUAAGAAAGGAAUUAUCUGUCAGAUCGGUUUAAUUAGUCUGUUUCUUAGAUUAGCUAGCUUGCAACCGGCGAUUCUGCCAGACAGAUUGGCGAACCGGAAUAUAAUUAUACUACCAGUUAAGCACGAUAUUGGAUUCGACUUGAUCAGGAACAAGGUUGUACGUGGGUUGCCUUUUAUUUUUUCACAGUAGAUUGCUAUGGCCUAGUGGUUUGGUUAGAUAUUGGGGUUUUUAAUGUGUUUUUCUUUAAAAAAACGCAAAUUAACACUAGCGUACGAUCAUUUUAGCAAAGUUGUAAGGGGAUAAAAUAAAGUCACCCUAUAAAACUUUUAUAGCGGAGCCGGUUAACGCCCGACUGUUUUAAACAGUUGAUCGGACUCGCCAACGUAUAACAAGAGGUAGAAAUUCAGAGUCGUUGAUAUCACUGUAUUAGACGAUGUUGAUGGUAUGUCAUAGUGGCUUUUGUCUAGGAUAUGAAAAAAAUCCUAAAUCCACCACUGCUUCAUUAAUUGUUUGUGUAGAACGCUAGUUUAAUUAUUCUUUAUAUUAUGUACAAAGCUAGUAGUUUAAUUGUUGUAGCGCGCAUAAAUUGCAGGUAGUUUCACAAGGAAAUGCACCACCAUUCCUCUUGGGAUUAAAAUUACACCAUUAUCUCCUCCUUAAUAUAACACCAGCUUAGCCUGGCUUUGGUUAAAAAAAAUUACACAAUUAUUUAUAUAUAUCACGCACGUUGUAAAUUCAAUCCGAGUCGAAUGCAAUGAAACCGAGUGCGUACGUGCUCCAGUCAACGGUGGUGUGUAUCACAUCUACCGCAGGAAAAGGGCGCCAAAAGGCAGAGUAAUUUUCACACACAUUCCUCCACCGCGCCGUCAAAAAUCCCAAAAUUUCCACGUAAAAACACAAAAAAAAAAAAAGUACACCAAAGAGCAACCAAACUAAUUACCCUACUAAUCAAUUUCCCGUGAGAAAAAAAAAUCAAGAAAUCCAGUGCAGAAAACCUAAAACACCAAAAAAAAAGAAAAAAAGAAGAAGCAGUGCUUGCCAAUUCGGAGAAGGCAUCGAGCUGAAGCCACAGGGCGAUCGAUGGAGGUGAGGUGAGGAGGAAGAAGAAGACGAGAUGGAGUUGGAGUGCACUUCACGCCACAUGAGGGAGAUGCUAUAAAAUCCCUUCUCCCUUUUCAAUUUCACGCCAACACCCAACCCCCUCUCUCUCUCUAUCUCUCUCCUCUCUCUCUCUCUAGCUCUAGCUCUAGCUCGUCGCCGCCAUGAACGUUCCAAGCAAAUGCAUGGCUCCUGCAAAGUAAAAAAAGAAGAAGAAGCAGCAGCUGCAGCUUCUCUUCAGUAUCGAUCUUUAACUGUAUCGAGCUAGCUUAGCUUAGCUUAGCUCUCUGCCAUUAACUUGUGCUUCACUGAGCUUGAGCUAGCUAGCUUCUUGGCUGUGUGACUGAGUAGCUCUAGCUCCUCGUCGUCGUCGUCGUCGUCGUCGUCGUCGGCGUCGGUGGUGGUGUGAAUUGAUAGAAUUGAUACGAUGGAGAGGGCGGCUGCGGCGGCGCCGGUGGUGGUGAGGCAUGGAGGAGUGGUGUUGCCGCCGGGGUUCAGGUUCCACCCGACGGACGAGGAGCUCGUGGUGCAGUACCUCCGCCGCAAGGCGUUCGGCCUGCCGCUCCCCGCCGCCGUCAUCCCCGACCUCCACAACCUCUUCAAGCUCGAUCCCUGGGACAUUCCUGGUACGAAUUCUUGACGACGACGACGAUGUCGAGAUGGCACCAUGAAUGCUUGUUGAUUGAUUCGGUGUAUGUGUGAUCCAGGUGCGAGCAGCGACGGGGACAAGUACUUCUUCGCCGUGCGGCCACCUGCGGCGAGGGGGAGGAGGCAGCAUGUGACGGCGAGCGGUGGGUGCUGGAAGCCGGCGGGCGGGCGGGACAAGCCGGUGGUGGUGGCCCGGUGCGGCGGGAGCCACCUCGUCGGCGUCAAGAAGGGCAUGGUGUUCGUCCCACGGCAAGGGAGGAAGGCACCGGCGGCGGCGGCGGCGGCCGCCGGCGGUGGCUGCUGGGUCAUGCACGAGUACAGCCUCGCCCUGCCGAUGCACAAGAAGGUGAGAAACCACUACUAAUCAAUCAUAUGAGCAUAUGAUUUCCUCCUUAAUGAUUGAUUAAUCACUCUCUUGAUGACUAGUUGACUGCCAAUUUGCCCAUUUCUUCAUGCAAGAACUGAUUGUGUUUGUUGAUUGAUUUGUUUUCUUUCUUGAUAAAUCUUCUUGUGUUUCUGCAUGCAUGCAACUCAAGUGAGCAAGCUUGAUAAAUCUUCUUGAGCAUUAAUUUGGGAUCCAAUAUUAAGCUCAAGCUAGCUUAGCUUAGCUUCUCAAAGUGCUACUACUAGCUAACUUGAUCAUAUGUUUGCUUAUCACUAUUUUUAUUAGUUAUUUUUAAAAUUACUAGCUAUAUGGCUUUCAAGAUCAUGUCACAUGCUCUCCAUUAGCUUAAAGCUGUAUAUUUGUCUUAAAUUACUAAUUAGAUAAUUCUGAUAGCCACAGCAUAGGUACAAAUCAGUUAACCAGUCAAGUACUAUGCUAGAAUUUGCCAAUAAAUAAAACAAAAAAAACCCAGUUCAACACAAACUUCUCAGCCAUAACUAAUUAACCGAGGAGCAUCAUACAAAUUAACACAUACAGGCAGGGUACAGUCUGCACAUCAAACUGUCACAACAUGCUCAUUAAUAGUCAUGAUCAACAACAACAAUAACUCGCAGUUUUAAAUUGCUUCUGAUGGUGGUUGCAAUUCAUCCUGACAUGGAGAGGUGGCUGUACUAGAUGCUCUCUGCUCAUCAGAUCGAAUCGUCUCAUCAAGUUGUGCAGCUCCACUACUACCAGUAUCUGCUAGUACUAGUACUACUAGCCACUCUCUUGCAUAUAUGCAAGAACCAACCAAACCAACCCAGCAGCAUCCAAUUAAGCUGACAAACAAGUAGUACCUCAGGCUAUUAAUCAUGUUUGUUGGGAUUACAUUAACUAAUGCUUAAUUAGCCAGAACAACAGUGUUCCAUGCCUGCUCCUGUGUCUGAACAAGCUGGGGCCUGUAUAUAUUUCAAUGCUGUCCAGUAGAUCGACCAGUGCUGUUGUGGCCAGUUCUGUGGCCACUGUUGAAGAUAUGUGCAGUAGAUGUUCAUGCUCGUUUUGAUUGAGAGAAUCUUGAAAUUAAAACACCUUGCUGGCAAUUAGUUUGAUUGACAAGCUGUACUUGAAUGCUACAUCUCGUAUAUCUACUUUUUUUUUUGAAGAAAGAUGCUUGAAUGCCCUAGAAUUCAUGUAGUUAUAUUUUCUGAAGUUUGAUCGUAAAUACAUAUAUAAAACCAUCUGAACUUGUUACAUGAAAAUUAUCAUUGCAAUUGUCAUUUAAAAAACUUUCAUGAUAUUAAUUUUGCUAGUAUAUUUUAGUGUAAAAUUAAUUAAAUUAGCCUGGAUUAGUACAUAGUGUAGUAGGAGUAGCUAGUACCAUUCCUUGCAAUAUCACUACUAAUGCUAACACUGUGUUUCACUGCUGUUGCUAGAACAGACUGAACAGUAGGAUUUGCACUUGAAUUUCAGCAUAUAUUAAAAAUAAAGUACAGAGGAUAGAAUUCCAGAAGAAAGACCAUAAAUUUUGAACAGUUUUUAGGUUGCUUAAGCUUGUGUGUCCUUUGUAAACAAUGUGAAAACUACAAAAGAGUAUUUCAAGAAAAAAAAGGGAAAAAUUAAAAAAAAUGAGUACAUGGACAGAAACAACUGAAGUUUUCAAACACAGCUAAAGCUGGAAUGUUCUUAGAUCGAUGAAGCUGACAUAUUUUUUUUUCUGAUUUGUGUGAACGAUCUCUGCAGGGUUGCUUGGCUGAGGCUGAAGAAUGGGUAGUGUGCCGGAUAUUUCAGAGGAGCAGCAGCGGCAGCCGGUCGCCGAGGAGGCCUGACAACGACGUGAGGCGAACGAUGCCGGCCGUCGCCGAGCUCGGCCGGUCGCCGUCGCCAUCGUCGUCGUCGUCGCAAUCCAGCUGCGUCACAAGCAGCUCCGACCAGGAAGAGGUCAGCAGCGGCUAGCUAGCUGAAGAAGAAUGCAGGCAGCAGCAGCAAGCAGCUAAGCUGCCUCUCAAAGAGAGGCUUGAGUGUUAGCCUAGCUAAGCAUAUAUAUUUAUAGCCGGCCAAACCCUCUGAAAGUGAUCUGCAUCAAUGCAUGCCCCCCUUUAAUUUCUUCUUCCUCCUUAAUUAUUUUUUCCCAACCAUGUAAUGUAAUGUAAUUUAAUGUAAUGCAGUGUAAUGUAACGGGAAGGAAGCACUGAAUUAAUCAAAUUAAAUUAACAAAUGAAGAGUGCUCAAAAGUCCAAGGAAGCUUCUAAGGUUCAGGAGCCAGAUAUUAUCUACUUAAUUAAUUAAUUAUGGGCACAUAUCUGUAGUUGCUAGCUAGCUGCAUAUGCAUCUCGUCGUUGUCGAUCCAUUUGUAACUUGCAAGUUGUGUUGGUGUAAUAUUGUAAUAUUUUUCUCCGAUGGUUGAGAAAUUAAUCUGAAAUCCAUUAUAGCAAUUAAUUGCAACUGUUGCAUGUCUCAUUCUUUUUUUCUUUGCUUUGUUUUCAGACUCAUGUACUCUACAUGAGUUGCAUGUCUCAUUCCUUAACUACCCUGUACUCUACAUGAGUUGCUUAUGCCUCACCAACUCAUGUUCACAUACAUAGAGAUGAUUUUUUUUUCUGAGAGAUAUAUCAUUCUGUAUCACAUAAAUAACUUAUCUUAGAAUAAAAUGAUAAGUGUGCUUAAGAGUUGAUAAGGCAUACUACAUAACUUCAUUUCCCCACAAAAGAAGGCAUACAAUCAACAGCAUUUAGCACAAUAAGAAGCUAGCUAAAACUCUUGACAAAUAAAAGGCUGCUAUCAUGCGUGCACAUAGACAUGCAUGCACAUAUAUGUUAAUUAUUAUUAGGUUAAGGAUCAACAUAACUAAAUUAUAUGAGUAGCUAGUGCUUGUCUGCUCUGCCAAGAGAGAAAGCUGCACAACACCUAAUGCCACCUGUAGGUGCUAAUGCUUUAACAGUGCUGUUCUUUUAAUAGUGUAGAUCCUCAUUUUAUUUUCCUUCUUUAAGAGAGGGAUCCUUGUUUGCUUUGUGAUCCAUAUAAACGUAAGCAACUCCAUUAAUCUCCAUUCCAGCUGGAUUAAUUAUUAAUGCACUAUAAUUAAUUCAGUACUGUCCGACAAAGCAUACAAUUCUUGUACUAGUUCUGCAAGAAAAAUUAAAAAAGCAAUACUUCCUCUGUGCUAAAAUAAAUAUAGUUUUACACUGUUCAUGUCUAACGUUUGACUGUUCAUCUUAUAUAACAUUUUUUUAUAGUAUUUUUGUUGUUAUUAGAUGAUAAAACUAGUACUUCAUAUGUGACUAUUUUUUUAAUAAAUUUUUCAAAUAAGAUAAAUGGUCAAACGUUGAACAUGGAUACUCACGACUGCACUUAUUUUAGGGCGGAGAUAGUAUUUAAUUAAACACACAUAACCAUAUGAGCUAAGAGCAUGUUUAAUUAGAACAUAGAAAUUCUGAAAGAAUUCCACAAUAAUAUAAUCAGUUCAUUUCCUACCAGCAUGAAAAAGAACAGAUGCUCCAAACAGAACCUAAUUAAGAUUGUCAUGCAUGCAAAGAGAGUUUAGCUAGACUUGAAGGAAAUAAACAACCAAAAGCUUAAUUACAAUAGGAUAAGGGUGGCAAUGGACGAGUGGUUUGAGAAAGAGAUGCUUUCCAAUGUGCAAAAUGAGAGAGAUAGUAGAUGAUAGCCUUCAGCUUGAGCUUUGAUCUCAUUCAGUGGGAGAGAGUGUGUGUGUGGGUGGGCCCAGUGAUAGCCAAGCGAAUCCACUCUAGAUUUGGCUUUGAAUAAUAAAGGCCAUGUGUCACACUCACCAACAGCGACCCACACAGGCCACUAAUCACAAACAUAUAUGGUGAGAUUUUGCUUAAGCUAUAGCUCACCCAUUUGGUAGGCUCACCUCCAUUAAGGCACAAAUAAUUAGCCGCAUAAAUACUUUCUCUUCACCUUUUAUGGCCCUUUUGUUUCUUCCCUUAACUUUGUCCAAUCCAACCAAAUAUCAUAUCAGUGACUGAAUCAUAUAUCCGCUGAUCUUGAAGAUUCUCCUUUAUAGUUUGAGAAAAACAAAACAACGGUUAUACAUAUUAACUAUCGCCAACCUUAGAUAGGAAUUUAGCAAUUGGUGUCAUCUCUAUCUUUAAGAUGAUGUUUUAAGUAAUUAUUUUAUUUCAAUUAAGUUGUGAUUUUAUAGUUUACAAUAGUUCGUCCUGGACCCUCUAUAAUAAUUAGCUGUAUUUUUUUCAAGCAAAUUAAGACUGAAAUAAAUUUUAUUAAUAAAAAAAGUGUGUAUAUGCCUAGAAAAAGUUUAACACGAAAUAUAUUCAGGUUUGGCUAAAUUGGAUGCUAAUUUGCAACCAUCCAUCACUUUCUGAACUGACUGUUUCUUUUUCCUCUCAGAUAGAUAGCUGGAUGGAUGGAUGGAUAGAAAGAUGUUCGCAUGGUUGAUUGGCUAUCUAGCUAAGCUGCUCCCCGGUUGCCUGAAUCCUCAGAACUGCAUCAUCUUCAAGUCGCUAAUCCAGCACCCAUUUGAGCGUGACAGGUUGAUUAAUUGCAGUACGUAUAUGCACUGUGUCGCCUACGCUACACGUCGUUGCUUCAGCUCUCUGAACUCGUGUACAGGGACAGUCUCGACUACUGUUCAUGCAGAGCAGUGUGCAGUGCAGCAUAUAUACAUGCACCCAUCCUGACCUGUAAUUUUCAGGCGUAUUCAGCCUAGAUCGCGAUGAACAAAUCGAUAGACUGAUUGAUGUAUCAUCAUCAUCACUACUCUAUCAAUCCAAGAUCCAAGGUUAAUUAGCCUCUUCUUUUUUGCAUAGCGAUCGAUCGAUCGAGCCAUGUGUAUAUUUGCUGAUAGAUGUUUACAGCUAUAGCUAGCUAGAUGCAGGUUAGGAAUCAGCAGGGAUCAGAAUUGAAUAUAUAUAUAUAGUUGUGAAGAAUGCGACAUGGCGAAAUAGAUAGAUAAUUAGAUGCAUAUUGCGAGCUGGCUAGAACUGGACGGCGCCUGAAGAAAUAAAAUUGAUCUUAUGAAUUCUUUCUAGGGACCAUGAUUGAUUUAUUUCAGUGAGGUGUGUUCUAGCUGAUUACUCGUAGCAGUACAAUUGAGCAGUUGCAGCAUCUGUUGCUUUCGAUAUCUUGUACAAAUUUUUCCAAGGCUUAUUGUCUAGCUGUUAGAGUUUGUGUCAAAUAUGUGUAUGUAGUCGGUUACAGUUUAGGACAUGGAGUUGUAAUAGGUAUUAGGAUUAGAGUAAGAGUCGGACUCUGUCCUAGGAUCUCUCAUAAAUAGAGGGGCGUGCCUGUUGUAAUCGCAUGGCGACAUAGCAUAGCGAGAGGGAGCGGCUGCCGGCGGCGACCGACCGUGAGUCGUUGUAGCUCUGAUACCACUUAGGUUGGCAUGGCAUAUUCGCCAAGGUGGAGUUUGUUAGAGUUUGUGCCAAAUAUGUGUACGUAGUCGGUUACAGUUUAGGACAUGAAGUUGUAAUAGGUAUUAGGAUUAGAGUAAAAGUCGGACUCUGUCCUAAGAUCUCUCAUAAAUAGAGGGGCGUGCCUGUUGUAAUCGCAUGGCGACAUAGCAUAGCGAGAGGGAGCGGCUGCCGGCGGUGACCGGCCGUGAGUCGUUGUAACUCUGAUACGCUGUAAUAUACUGGAUCGGAAAGGAGCGCCCGUAAUCAGUGCCCCGGAGAUAUAGGCCUCGGCUGAACUCCGUUAUCAAAUAUCGUGCCUCGGUGUCGUCAUCGUGUUUGGAUCUCCUAUGGCGUUUUCUUCCACGUUUAGCUACCGAUGUCGAUUUCGGGGCUGGUUUUAUAACACUAACUAACUAAAUUAAAUCUCUUGCAGGUAAGGAGUUGAAAUUCCUCUCAAUUAAUUAAGGUUUCUGAAUCAUCCAUCCAUCGAUCGUUCUAGCUAGUUAGUUAGCAAGCCAUGUGUCUAUCUGUAAUCUCCUGUUAUUACUAGCUCAGUUAAUUUCAAGAAAUAUAUAUGCAUGAUUGAUUUUCAUUUUCGUUGGCAAAAUUGGAGUCGACGAUUGCGGCGUGUGGAAAUUGUGAAGAAAUACUAGUAACAGUCACAUCAAUCUGCUCCUGAUAUAUUCCUCGAGCUAGCUAGAUUCCAACACCGGGUUAGGAGGUGUUUCAGUUUCUCACUCCAGCUAGCUUAGCUAACUGCAUCUAUCUCUCUCUGGUCAGCAGUUGCUUUCAGACAAUUAACUGAAUGAUCAAUGAAUGGAUGAAUAUGUGCAGCUAGCUGAAUGUUCUGGUCCUGGUUCCAGAAGAGAUAAUGUCUGAAGAAUGUGAGUGCAUGCAAAUGCUUGCUUGGUUGCCGGGUGUCUGGGUAACUUCUCCGGCCACACCACGGCACGGCAGCAGCAGACAGGCAGGCUUCUAAUUGUGAAACUCUUCUCACUUCCCACAGCAUCUGAUUUUGACACUUGCAUUUUGACUCGAUUUCAGUGACCAAUUCUCAUUGGCCUUGCAGGUUGGUUAGCAAGUCCAGCUACACCGUGCUUCCAUAUUCAGACACUGACUGACUGACUGACCUGACUUAUCUUCUGCUUAACUUUCUUUAAAGAUGAUAGAAGCUUUUACUGCACAUACUCAAUUACAUUGAGAUAAUACAAUUAUCCUACAAACAUUUCCGACCUCAUAUAGCUAAGAUGUACACAGCGAGACACACACUCCUGAAAAAAUUCAGAGUGAUAAAUCUAUGAAUAAACUAAUAAUGGUGAUGCAUGUUAGUUUAUGCACAGAUCGACCGACCGAAUGAGUAGCUGAAGUAUCAGAUGGAGAUUUAAGAGGAUGUCUGUCUGGCCAGGAUGAUUGUGUUCUUCUUUUCCCCUUGCUGGGCCUACAUGCAGAACAGCAAGAAUGCAAGCAACCAACUGCAGAUAAGGCCGAUGGAUAACUACAGUGCACUAGUGCCAGGACACACCUAACAUCUACUAAUUGAUAAUUGGGAGCGUAUCCUAUGCACACAGGCCCUCGCGUGUACACACCAUGUACACCAACUAAAAAUUAUCACAAAAAAUUCUAGAAAAAUUCAUACAUGUACUUUCAAUAGUAUUACAUCUACGUGCAAAGUCGCAUCUUUAAAUUCAUUCUACAUAGAGAAUAACAAAAAAGAUAAAAUUCUGACAAAAUUGCAAACCUUAAAACUGUCAGAUUUUUUGUUUUUUUUUUGUUACGGCUAAAAUAUAAUGAAUUUGACGUUAAGAUUUUAACCCCUAGGUGUAAUACAAUUGAAAGUAUGUGUAUGAUUUUUUCUAGAUUUUUUGGUGAUAUUUUUUAGUUGGUGUGUACGUGUGUACACGUGAGGGCAUGUGUGUAUAGGAUAUGUUGUCUUGAUAAUUAGCAAUCGAUCACAUAAUUGUGCGUACCCCAGCUAGCUGAUGCUGAUGACCAUCGGUGACGGACCAGUUUUCAUCUUCAGAAAAGAAAAGCCUUCAGAAUGAAGAGAGAACUGCACACAUCAUGUUCAGAGAAGGCCACUCACUGUUGAUGCUUUUAUGGGCUUGAUUCAUCCUAUUAAUGGAGGCCCAUUUAACUUCUAACCCCAUGUAAAUGCAGCCCAGACAAGCAGGCCGGCCCUCCUUUAAUUUACCCAUUUGUUCACACAAUUACUAAUAAAUUAACUAGGGAAUAAAUAAUACCACUAGUAAGUAGUAUUUUAAGAACAAGAUGGUAAGAUGCGAUUAACAGCUGACCUGAUCAAUUGGACAAGGAUUCUAGCAAUAAUGGAAUAGAGAAAGCAGAAAGCAAAGCGGAUAAAUUCGUGAGCAGUUAGCAUUGCAUCAAGUCUACCAAUAAUCAAAUACAGUACUCUAGUCAUGUUUGUUUUUUUGUCCAUUCUUUAGGGCAACUUGCCCCUGAUCACAAUGGACCGUUGAUAGUGCAACAAGCAGGUAACUAAGAGAUUAAACAAUCAAGCAUGUUUGUACAAGUGCCACAUUUUCUAGCUGAAGGAUAUGGCACUACGUACUCCCUCUUAAAAAACGAAUAUAGGAUGCAGCACAUCAUAUUACUAUAAAUUUAAGAUGUAUAUCUAAAUUUGUAGUACUAACAUGUGUCACAUCCUAGGUUGGUUUUUAUAGGAGAAAAGAAGUAGUUGUUUGCUACAUCAUCUUUACGUCACUUAAUACUAGAAAUCUUGGGGAUAAUCACACAGUCUUCGUUUCGAUAAUGCUUAUUAUAAGCCGUAAAUUAGGUUUACAAAAAAAUAGUCUAGAAAUAAGACUUUUGUAUAAAUAUUGUUAGUAAUUUUAAAGAUUUGAAUAAUAAACUAGAUAAAAAGAUUAAAAAAAUAACUUACUGUAAUUUAGAUUUUAAGCUAAAAUGUAAACGGUGAGAAUGAAGGUGAAGAAACAACACAUGCUAGCAUUAGGCUACGUUUCAUACUGCACUUUUUUUAAAUUACGCUAUAAUAAGCAUGCAAUUACAGUUUAUUUCAUUGUGAGUUGUUUUUUAUAACCUAAAGUGUGUUAAGCAUGAUUUUAUCUUAUAUAUUUAUAUAAUUUAAGUAAAAUAAAUAAUUAAACAUGUGUUUAAAAGAUAACGAAUUUAAAAACCGAACGAAGUAGUACUCAAUCAUAAUGUCAGCCGAACGGUUGGGUGGUGACAAAGUGCAGAGCGGCCACCGCAUGCACGAGUGUCAGUAUCAGAUUUGGUUGGCCCGGUAGCAGCAGGCAGCAGCAGCCAAGUUGUUUCUGGAUUUUGGAUUGGCACCCGAAAAACGCGGCCCCUGCACGAUGCAAAGGCCGACGAAACGUGCCGUGCGUGCGCCCCUCCGCCGCGCCGGUGGCUAUCACCUAUCUCACUCUUCUCAUGUUGUAUAGAGCUAUCUCUUCCUCCUAUUCUAAACGCAGCAAUAAAUUUUCGUGUUUAAUUUUGAUCGUUCGUCUCAUUUAUAAAACUUUUUAAAAAAAAUCACAAGUCACGCGUAAAAUAUUGUUCGUGUUUUAUCAUCUAAUAACAAUAAAAGUGUUAUUCAUAAAAUGUUUUUAAAUAAAAUGGCUGAUCAAAAUUAAACAUGAAAACUCAUGGCUUUACUUAAAAUGCGACAAAGUAGUACUUCAUCCGUUUCACAAUGUAAGACUUUCUAGCAUUGCUGAUAUUCAUAUAAUAGAUACUAAUGAAUAUAUAUAUAUAUAUAUAUAUAUAUAUAUAAUAUCUAGAUUUAUUAGCAUCUAUUAUAGACAAUGCUAGAAAAUCUUAAACGGAGGGAGCAUUAGUACUAGGGAGGAGUAACGUGAAAUGGGUGGACAUGUCACGUCGCAGAUGGAUCAAACAGACGGACGGCUCUGCUCUCGUCAACCACUGUUUCCAUCCGCCGUCACCCACUCUGCCCCCCGGUCGGUCAAUCGCACCGCACGGGCGGGUAGCAACGCCACUUUCUCUUCCCCUUUUACGCUUUCCUCCUUCACUUCCUCCCAUUUUCGAACAACCACCAUGCUAACCUUUCUAUACAUGCGACCAAUCAUAAACUACGUAUCACAAAACUUUAAAUUAGAUAAAAAAACUUUACCAAAGAAUAAGUAUAUGCUUAAUGCCAAUUUAAUUAUAGACCUAUAAUAUUUAUGGCUCCAACAUAACAGCAAUACUAGGGAUUUAAACUUUAAAAUAUAUAGUUUUGUGAUAGCUUCAACAUAAAGUACAUAGAAUUUUUAUCUUAGUCUUAAAUAUGCAGUUUUGUGAUAAAUUUAGUGCCAAAUCUAUAAGUUUAUGAUAGAACAUCUUAAAUAAUUAGUUUUGUAAAAUUUAGGAUCCGUUUGGUAGAGCUCCAACUCCUAAAUUUAACUAUAGAAGUUAAGUCUAAAGUGAAAUUGUAGAGCAGUCUAAACCCAGUUCUACCUCUCCAGUUCAUUUCGUAAGAGUGCUCUAGUCAGCUUCACUCCCAUCUUAGGUAGAGUUGAAACUGUUUGGCUGGGCUCCAAUGACUAGGCUUCAACUCCAGAAGAGGUGAACCUGUAGUUUGAGCCAUGUCAAACAUACCUUUAGUUUAAUACUCCGUACUCCAUUUUUUUUAUGUCAAACGGACUCAUCCUUGAAAUAAUGUCCCUUGGUAGGGUUCUCUCCGGAAAAGGGGGUUAAGCCCAUAAACGGAUCAUUCCGGGUCGCUGGCACAGUACACCCCUAUCUCACCCACCACCAUCCCAAGGCGGCGCGACGACCCAUCUCGCCGCCGCGAAUUCUCUCUCCGGCGAACUCCAACUCGAACCCUCCCUCCGCCGACUCCGCUCACGAGACCUAAACCCUCCUUCCCUCUCCUCUCGUCUCGUUCCCACCACCAUGCUGGGCAUCGCGAGGAGGCGCCUCGGAUCCGGAUGCGUACGGCUCCUCCUCCCCUCUCCUCUUCUCUCAUCCCGAUGAUUGUUUGUUUUUUUUUGUAAUCUCUUCUCGUUUUCGCGGUUUCUGAUUAUCUGGGGGUGGGGGAUGGAUUUCUGACGCUCGCCGUCCCGUUUCGAUCGUUGUGCAGGCGCUGGGGCAACUCAUGCAGGCGCUCCGACCGGCCGCCGCCGCCGCCGCGGCGAGGACCUACUCCGCCGCCGCCAAGGAGGUGAGCCGCUUCGAUGAACCCUUGCUUCUACCUCCGCUCCUGUAUCCUUGGGCCCGUUGCAGCGGCGAUGCCAUCGGAAAGCGAGCCGCGAGCGUCGACUCUCGUUGUUGUUUUUUUUUCUUCUUCUUUUCCUGUGGAAUUGGUUGGUACUAGCUUCCGGAGAUGCUUGCAUCUGUUCGUUGCAGGAGCGUAUUGUCAUGCGGAUUAACUGAUUUAGGCGCGUUGAUUGUGAAUUCGUGUCAUUGUGUGAUACCACCUAGCUUUGGUUUCUAGCGGGGUUCGUUUCUGGGGGAAUAUUCGGUCUGUCACGAGAAUCAGUUUGUUUUUCCCAUGAGGAUGCUGUCUCUAUGCGCCCCAAACUUCAUGUUCAUGCGUGAUUUUCAGCUCGAUAGGUUCAAUGCCUAUGCGUGGUUGGGUGAGCUGCUGUUUUCAUCACAUUUAGUUGCAGCUUUGUGGUGCUGAAAACUGUUACAUUUGCACGUAAGUACAUUAGCGUCCCUGCUCCUGUUGAAAAUGAAGGUGGCUUAUCAAUUUGAUGUCCGUUCUGUUGAAAAUGAAGGUAGCUUAUCAAUUUGAUGUCCGGCCUUGGGUUCAGUCUGUUAAGAUUAUAUAGUUUCACGCAGCAUACACACACACAAAAAAAAAGAGAAACUGUUUUAUAGCAUUUGACUUUUCUUUGGGGGAUGGAGACUUUUUUUCCUGCUCCUGAAAGUCUAAACAUAGUUUAAAAUAUACACGUGAUUCUUGAAUACAUAGACAUGACGUUCUCUUGAGUACAGUUCUCCGUUCUACAUACCGUGAGAUUUGACUUGCAACUUUUCUUGCUCAUCAGAUGACUGUGCGUGAAGCAUUGAAUUCUGCCCUUGAUGAGGAGAUGUCUGCUGACCCUUCUGUUUUCUUGAUGGGAGAAGAGGUUGGAGAAUACCAAGGGGCAUAUAAGGUGAGUAAUUUUUAUUAGACCAAUGCUGUCUUUGGCCCAUUAUCAUGACAUAAUUAAUUUCUGAAUACUAAAUAGUAAAGCUUCUCUUUCCUGCAACAUUUUGCAGAUAUCGAAGGGUUUGUUAGACAAAUAUGGCCCUGAUAGGGUUCUUGACACACCAAUCACAGAGGUGAUACUCUUAAACCUUCUGAGUGACCGCUGGUGUCCACUCAUAAGCAGCUAGAGUGACGCAGUCACAUUGAAGUACUGAUAUGUUUGCAUUCUGUUCAGGCUGGUUUUACUGGAAUUGGUGUUGGUGCUGCCUAUCAAGGUCUUCGCCCUGUGGUUGAGUUCAUGACAUUUAACUUCUCUAUGCAGGUCAAUCAUUCACUAUUCUCACUUAAAUUUAUAUGUUUGAUUUCAGAAUGUGCCUUUUCCUUUGUUUUUAAGCAGAUUAUUUGGUUCUGCACACUUAGAAAGGUUAAUUUUAGAGUAUACUAUACAGAAGAACCUGAUUUCUACAGCAUAAUUUUUCUUUUUUUGUGAGUACAAAAUUGGUUAAUGGCUAUCACUGAAAUUUUUUUAUGAUGAAAUGAACCAUUGAUAGUUAUAAAUACGGGUGAUAAAUAGAUAUGAUUAUAUGUCCGCUCGAGUAGCUUUUUGAUGAAAUUCUUCUCCACCUGCUACUCUGCCAGUACUUUGGAUUGUCUUUGUCUUGCACAUACCUUUAUGCAUAAGCAUUCACUUCCAUGCAUAUCUGGAUCUUUUAUACAAAUAUAUUUUCCCAUCUAUAUGAUGUAAAGAUUAAAAUAGUUUCUAUAACACCAUUUGCAUAUUCAGGCAAUUGAUCACAUCAUAAAUUCAGCUGCCAAGUCGAACUACAUGUCAGCUGGUCAGAUAAACGUUCCUAUUGUUUUUAGAGGGCCAAACGGUGCUGCUGCUGGUGUUGGUGCUCAGCACUCUCAGGUUUGUGACAGAAACUUGUUAAUGCCUAUCUGUUAUUCUAUUCUAUUAUUAUUGUUUGGACGGCAAAUAACCAAUAUUUGUGGUGUUUUGAACAUUUUGCAUUGUUUGUAAAUAGAGUAAAUUUCACAAAACUAUUAUUAUGCAUUCUAUUAUUCACAGUGAAGUUAAAAGUGAAGAAUGAGAUUAUUUGUUACAUGAGUUGUUUAUCCUGCUAUAAUUAUUUAUAAAAAUGCGUUGAACUAAGUACUUAGUGUGAUUGUGUAAGCUUUAGUUUAUUUCUUCUCUUUUCAUUCCUUAGCUUUGAUUCAAACUCCUCUUGUCAUUUAUUUUGGUGGAAUUAACUAAGUGCCUUGGUAUGCAGUGUUAUGCGGCUUGGUAUGCGCAUGUACCAGGAUUGAAGGUCCUAACUCCUUAUUCUGCAGAAGAUGCUCGGGGCUUGCUAAAAGCAGCAAUCAGGGAUCCAGACCCUGUUGUUUUCUUGGAAAAUGAACUGCUGUAUGCUAGCCUUUCCUUCCCAAUUAUAUUCUCUAAAUUUGAUUUGCCAUUUCACUGAAUAGUGUAUUUCUGCAGCUAUGGUGAAUCAUUCCCUGUUUCUGCGGAAGUUCUUGAUUCUAGCUUCUGUCUUCCGAUUGGGAAGGCUAAGGUAUGCUGUAUAGUUGUAUUGAUUUCGUAGUAGGAUGAGUUUUAUUUGGUCAGGUUUCGGUUUCUGGUUUGCCUGGAAGAGUUUAUUUCUGAUGGCUGCUUUCAUUUUUCUAUGUGUAGAUAGAGCAAGAAGGAAAAGAUGUUACAAUUACCGCAUUCUCCAAGAUGGUCGGAUAUGCUCUUCAGGUGUGUGGAUACCAGAUUUUCUUAAGCUGAAGAAUUAUGUCUAAUAACGGUGUCUCUAGUGACACUGGUUUCCAUCAGUAAUUCAGGUCUUAUACCUGUUGGUAAAGACCGGACCCUUUAUUUAUUCAUUCCAUUUUUUUCUACAAAAUAAAAAGGCUGGACAAUGUGCAUAGCAUCUAGGGAUGCAAGCAGGGUGGGCUUGUGGGCUUUGAGGCCCACUAAUCCACAGUUGCAGCUAUAUUUUUGCAUCCAUUUUUGUUCUAGUGGGUGGAAAAUGAAUUGCACGUGGGCUCUUAUGCGGCACAGCGGGCUGCCGGCUUGCACCCCUAAUAGAAUCACAUCUAUAUAUAGUAGUGAAUGCAAAAUGAUUUCAAAGCACCUCAUUGUCAACUUAGGCAAAAAAAAAAAAGACCAUCAGAUUGAGAGAAAAAAAAGACAAAACAUGGACAAUAAAUGUGAACUGUCUGACCAAGGAUGUUAGAGAGCCACAAAUGAAGGAGAAGGAUGGUAAGAGGAGAUACAACAAAUGAAUAGGUAGAUGAGGAAGAAGGCUCCAGGCUUCUUAGAGUCACUAGCUGAACACUGCAUUAUCAACAGUCAACAUUGUACCAAAUACCAGCCAUAAAUGGGCCUCUUGUUUGGGCUGGAAUUUGUAUGGGAGCUCUCAUUUACACAUGCCUUAUCUUGACAAAUGGGACAGUGGAAGGUUGGGACAAGUUGGUUUUAGUUGUUUCACUACAUAAACCAAAUAGGCACAUACAUUAGUGGUUCUAACAGCCUGGUCAAGGUUAUGCGAAUGCGCGACUCCACUAGUUAGUGGAAUUGAGAGUAUCUGUAAUAUGACCCGUUCCCUUUUUCAAUGCUUGCUUGAUUCUGAUGCAGACUUGGCAAACAUACACUUGGAUAUGCAUUAUUUUGAGAUAGUUCACUGUUUGUUUGUUUAAGUAGCAUUUCAUUUUUAAUACUAUAUGUACAAUAUAUGAUCGAUGGUUCUUGCCUGCGUAUGUUCUCAUGUUCAGUCAAAUUUCAGGCUGCAGAGAUACUUUCCAAGGAGGGAAUCAGUGCUGAGGUAGUUUCCUUUUGCAAAAUAUACUGUACAGUAUAGAUAUGCAACUAGACAUCUAUUUUUAACAACAUGCCAUCACUGUUUUCUUAUUACUAUAUAUCAAUAUCUUUUAUCAGGUGAUCAAUCUUCGGUCAAUUAGGCCAUUGGAUAGAGCUACUAUCAAUGCAUCAGUUAGGAAAACCAACAGAUUGGUAACCCUUGAAGAAGGAUUUCCACAACAUGGGGUUGGCGCUGAAAUAUGGUCCAUCUCUCUCUCUCUCUCUCGCUCUCCCUCUCCCUCGCUCUCUGUGACAAGUUGUUCUCAUAUGUACUGUAUCUUCUUUGCAGCAUGUCUGUUGUAGAGGACAGCUUUGAAUAUCUUGAUGCGCCAGUUGAGAGGAUUGCUGGAGCUGAUGUGCCCAUGCCCUACGCUGCCAACCUUGAGAGGAUGGCUGUUCCACAGGUACUUACGGCUGCUGCUUUGUUUGAACAAGAACUUUAGGAAUUCCAUCUCGUUAUGCCAAGUUCAGCAACUGUUGCUAUUCCACCAUAACGACCUAGCCGGCUACAGUAAUCAUCCUACCAUACAGAUUCCUUCAGUCAUAUCAAAACUUUAAAAAUAUAGUAGGAAUGUGAUCGAUUCAUUUAUUUUCUCCCCUUACUCAUGUUGGUGCCCCACAUUUGCAGGUUGAGGACAUUGUUCGUGCAGCGAAGCGAGCCUGCUACAGAGCAGUACCAAUGGCAGCAACAGCCUAAUUCAGUGACAGUUUUUGUUUCUCCAUCUUGUCUUCUUCCCAAUGGCCAGGAGUAUGUACCACAGCAUAAUGGUGUCUUCCCAAGUCUCAACUAGUGUAAGCUGAUUUUGUAGAUCCACCAUGAGGUGUCAAUCCCCUUCUUUCUUUAGUCGCAGUCGGAUGGCUGCAUCCGUUCAUAGUCCAAACUGAAUAUACACAUUUGAACCAUGCGACUUCUGGAGAUUUUACAUGACCGGUUGAUGUCAAUAACAUGUAUGUAAUGGAGCUCCAUAAGUCGGCAAACCAAACCCCCAUUAGAUUCAAUGUUUGUUCGUCCAUGCCUCUGAAUUGAAUGCACUGGACUCUACAAGUUCAUGGUCCUGUUAUCCAGAAAUGUUCGGAGUUUCUGACACAGGAAAGAUGGGUCUCAUGAUCUCAUCUCAUGUGCGGUGUGGCCAUCGGAUGGCCACGCCUCAUGUGCCAUCAUCGAGAGUCAUCAGUACCCAGUUUGUAAUCUGAAGGUGACACGUUUGGUCGACGGAGAGGCCCAGCCGUCGCCCGCGAAUACGUCCAGGUGCCCUGAAAGUGAGGCUACAGGUAAGACACAGACUGGGGCUUGCAAGAUUCUACUCCUACUCUAUCAGGUUAUGCAGAGAGAGUAACAGGUGGAGAGCUAGAGAGCUACACAUGUGUGCUGCAACUUGCAAAGCUGUGGGUCUCACUAAACUCUAAUGAUCAUGGACCAUGAUUCUCUCUGAAAACUACUGCCUGGUUUGAUGAAUGGGUCUCAAAAUUCUCUCUUAUUUGUACUAGAGCUUAUCUCCAUCUAGGAGUAGGAGUAGUGAUAUUAUUCUCAGCCCAUCUUUUGGUUGGUGGUGUUGUGGAUGAGGCAGCCCUUGGCCACCUGUACUGUACCUCUUCUAUCUCCUUUGUGAUAAUCACAUCCCUAAUCUCUUUUGACACUAUUUUGCAGGAGUGGACAGGCCUGUGCCAUGGGUCAAAUCAACUGCUGUCUGCAUUUGUGUCCUGACUUUACCUGGGAUAUCUUUUGUUAGGAGUACUCUUUUGUCUACUCCUAGGAAACUGAUUUUCUUUACCACGAAUAUGAUUCAAAACAUACGAGUUUUGUGCAAAUUAGAGCAAUAUAUAUUGUCCUAGUAAACACUGCUUUCUCUCCAAAGAAGAAAGAAAUUAAAAGAAAUGGUUUUCUUUUCUGGAAAAUCAUGGGCUGGAGAUGAAGUGACCAUCAGACCCAAUUAUUAUCACCCUUUAGAUUUGAUGAUGCAAAAGUAGAAGGUGUGCAUCUCAGCCGCACCGUCAGUGGGCCCACGCGCUUCAAUAUUCUCUCUCUUCUCUUACACACUUUGCAAAGAGACCCUUGGGAACUAAACAUUUUAUGUAGUGCUCACUGUUUUUAUCUGUUUACUACUUUAAUUUGGUGUCACAUCUCCAACCCCAUUAUGACUAGUGGAUUAUUAACAAAACAUGGCCAGGGGAUGCUGAAGUGCUUGAUGGAUCUUCUUGAUAUUUAUACACUGUAGGAUGAUGUUGAUUAUUCCUGAUCUUUUAUGAAAGACUGAUGGUGCUGGUGCAUAAUGUAUGCUUGUGAUUAAUGAUGCCUAUAAUGAAUCUAGAAUAAUUUAUUGAUGGAGAUAUCAGUGCUGGUAGCAGCAAUGAUGCUAACUAGGCGCAUAAACAAACUACGAAUACAAAAGAAAUUAAGGCCUUCUUUCAUGAAUGGGAGAAAAUUUUACUUGUGCUAAACUAAUUUGUGUAAAAUCUUAUGUUCAAGGAGCCCCAAGUAGUGAUAAUGAAAAAAAAAAGUACUUCUAAAAUUUCAAUGACAUAUCGGGCUAAUAAUUCAAUUAGUGGCAACCAACACGCCCAUCGAUAUUAAAACACAUGUGGUAACCUUUUUAAUCUUAAAAAAAAUGGUAACCUUUUUAAUCUUAAAAAAAUGUUCACCCAGUCUCUCAAUAGUGUUCACAAGUGUAAGAUGUGAAACGAGGGUAUGCAUGCGGCUAUAAACGUUAUGUUUAUGUUGUGUUUCCAAAAAAUGGCAUAGCUAGCUUUGUCAUAAAAGAUUUUAUUAAUAAAACUGUAGUCCAUAAAGUCUCCUUUAAAACAUACGAAUUUCAUGUCUCACUUGAUAACAUAAACCGUUCAAUGUUGAAAAGAAGGAGAAAAAUAUCCAGCACACUCUAAUUCUAUUUGUUCACAUGUUGUUAUAACGGAUCAUAUUGAUAGUUCAAAACUUAUUAUAAGUUGUAACAGCUUAUUAGUGAUAACAAAUAAUCUGUGUUUAAUUUUCUUAUAUGUUUUCCCAGCAACUUAAAAUCUAAUGAAAAAAGAAACUAAUUAAGUUGGAAAAUAUCUAUAAAAAAUCAACUUUAAUUUAGAGUCCUAAAAUCGAGAACCGAUGAGGGCUCAACCAGUAAAAAUACAUAAACUUGAGGGGUCUAUCGACAAAAAUCGCCUUGGGAAAACAAAGGCGUGGAUUUUUAUCAUCAUCAUCAUCAGUUUUAUAAUUAUCCGAAGCAACAACAAACCAAACCAACCGAAGAAGAAGAAGAAGAAGAAGAAAAUAAAGGCGAAACCAAAACCAGCCUAGCCUACCGGAUUGGAAUUUGGAAGCACCCAGAUGCUACUCCUAUAAGGCUAUAACCCAACGUUUUCCGCCCCCCAAGAGAGAGAGAAAAAUAUCCUCCUAAUCACGGAUUAGAGCCCUAAUCACGCCGCCCGCGUAAUUAAUUUUUUAGUCUUGGAAUUAUAUAAGCCAUUAGAGAGGGAAAGCGAGAUGGAGUAGCCAGGAAAGAGAAGAAGAAGCAAUUGGGGAGAAGCCAAGCCAAGGUUGGGGAAGGGAAGGGAAGGGAGAGGAGAGGGGCUCGCCGAUCGAUCCCUCUCCGCCUCCGCCGUCGAACCGCCGCGUCGAGUCGAGUCGAAUCGAAGGUAGGUAGGGGCAUCCAUUCCUCUCUCCCCUGUCCGGGGUUCGAUUGGUUUCUUGAGAGGAUGAUUCAACUGUUGGUUCACUUGCUUGGAGCGUUGGAUUCGAGCUCUUCUUGUUCGCUGAUCCAAUCCUAAUCUUUCUCUUUUUUUUUUACUCUUGGAUUGAUGUCUGAACUUGUGAAUUUCAGAUCGAGCCGCUCCUCCACAUCUCCCACUCGCGGUCGCCAUCCUCCAGCGUCGCCGCGCGCGGCUGCUCCGCUUCCCGACGCCGCUCGCCGCUCCUCCAGCUCAGCUCCCCCUCGCGCGCGUCUCCUUCUAUCUCUCUCUCCAGCGACCAGCGGUGGUGGCCGUCUCUAGCGCCGGCUGUCGUUAGGGGAGAAGCCGGGUACUCGUAGUAGGUUCUGGCGUGACGUUUUGAAGGUGAGAAAUCACAAACCAAAAAUUAAUUUGAGAUUGUAUUGUUCUUUUGCACUGAUUAAUUGCAUGAAACCCUAAUUAGGUAGAUUGUGGGUUUAUUGGUAUGUAUUGUGUUGUCCUGCAUGCAACACAUUGACACCAUGUGUUGGCACAGGCAGGCUCUGCCAUGGCGCUGGAGCGACCAGCUGCAUAUAAAGAUUCUGUAUUGAGAGCCCAAGGGUAGUUUGGUCACUCCAUGAAAGAAACUGAGGAGAAAAGAAAAUAAAAUAGAUAAAACUCUCCAAAGUGGCAAUCUAUCCUGAGAUCAACAUAUAGAGUGGCAUUUUAUCCUAUACAUCCUAGUGAGUGGCAUUUUGUUGAAACCAACGAUAUAGAGUGGCAUAUAUAUUGUCCUUUUUCUCGGCAGCAGCUUCACAAGUGGAUGCCUCCCAUUUCCUGAGCUAAAACGUAGAGUAGUACUCGUGAUCAUUAGCACAUCGGAUAAUUUUUUUUGAGCUUUUGUUUCAUCGGUGUAAUUAAGUGUUAAUUGUCCAUUGAUUGAUUUUGCUUGUGCAGGACUGUGAUGUGUGAUCCCCACUGGCAUGUUGCAUCCUAGGUUCCUGGUUGCUUGCUCAGGCUCCAAGUUGUGCUUCAUCUCCAGUUGCCGUGGUAGCUAUGGGGACAUGGCUAGGCGUGGCAGGAUGAUACCUUUCCGCCUCAUGGGCUCGAGCAGGCUGUACGAGUGUAGCUCCACCCUCCCGGUGUUGAUCGGUUUCAGUUGAUGAUUUCUUUGGAGACUGAAAGAAAGAUUCUUAGGGAGUUCAUCAGAAAGGAUUGGAUAAGUGCAUUGUAGUUGUAGGAGUGCUAGGAGCCCAAAUCGGUGACAUUUCUUUCAGCGUUUCGCUGAACAUAGUGUAGAUUUGCCUGCAAUGGGUUUGCCUCAGGUUAAUCCAGCCGAGGAAGCGCCUACGCCGUCAAGUAGGCCUGUGUCGAGCCCUCGUAGCUUCGAGGGUGUUGGCGCCUGUGAUUUGGAUGGGCUUCUUGGAGGAAGCUCAAGUAGCAGGGUAUUCGAAUACCCGUCAAUCGGUGAUUCUGAUCGGAAGACUGCAUUAGACAUCCCGAAUGGAUCAACUGAGUAUUCUAGAGACAGCCAUUGCUUUGAUAGACCUGCAGGUCUCCGAGGACUAAGAAUUGAUUCGAGGGAUGCAGAUUCUAGAUCUUCUCAUAAAUUGGAUCCUACUGUCCAUGUUCCCACAAUGAGGGUUGUGGGAUUUGAGUCGGGUUCUGUUGGAGGUUCUGCUAUAAUAGAAACUGAUAAUUGUCAUACUCCAUUCGAUCAGCAUGAACUUCAGGCAAGGAAAAGACUGCUCUCACCAUUGAAAAACGUUCUUAAUAGACAGUUCCACGGUGAUAUACUGAAUAUUUCCGCUGGUGAUGCUAGAUUUGAACUUUCUGAUUCAGCCAGGAAACUUAACAUUUCGUGCUUCCAAGAUAGUAAAAAAGCAAACACUGGUAUGCUCGAUUCUUUUGAGCCACAAGCCUGGACAAAUUCUAGAUGCUCCAAUGGUAGUCCAGAAUGGGAUGCCAAUAAGAUUAAUUCUAAUUUAUUCACUGAUGGUCCUUUACUUGGGAGCAAGGAGUCCUUAGCUUAUCUUGAUCAUCUAGCUGCUAGUGCAAAAUUAGCACAUUCUCCACUCUCCUUGUCCCCGCUUAGCCCUAAAUUUAUGAACAGAACUAAGGCUACAGGAGCUCAAUGCCGUACAAUGAGAGAUAUUGAACAUCAUUUUCUAGAUUCAAGGGAAAAAGGGGGACCCGAUGGAAUUAGAAUGCUGAGUGUGCUAGAAGAAACUAACAUAUUACAUGAUGAAUACAAUGUCAUGACCCCUAAAAGAAGUUCAUGCAGAAGAUAUCAAAUCUGGGGUCCUGAAUCCACCCCUACUUCUCCCCGGGUUGGUUAUGGUCGGAGUUUGAGUCUCCCAGUACGACGGUCACUAGUUGGCUCCUUUGAGGAGUCCCUUCUAUCUGGCCGGCUUUCUUAUGGAAAAGACAAUCAGGUCUCUUAUUCCCUUUCACCAGAUAUUAGUAUGUAUUAGUAGAAUGCAAGGCUAUUGACUAUUGGUUUAAUUCAAUGUUCAUUUCGAAUGCAGAUAAUUGAUGGAUUCUUAGCUGUUCUAAAUAUUACUGGUGGAAACUUCUCUCCUCCAACUCAGAAGCUGCCGUUCGCAGUAACAAGCAUUGACGAGGAUAGCUCCUUAUUGUACUAUUCUUCUAUUGAUCUUGCUGGGAGGUCGUCAGCAACUAACUGUAGAAGCCCAAAACUCGAAAGAAGCUUAAGCAAUAAUGAUUCACGAUCAGCCAAAAGUCGCUUACGGAUCCCUGUUAAGGGCAGGAUACAGCUGGUACUAUAUUUUAUCCUUAUUAAAAGUGAAAGGUGUUCUUGACUUAUUGUUUCGGGUGAAAUGCUGUUUGAUAUUUUUAGCUGCUAGUGAAUUGUUUUUUUCUUAGUUGUAGUUGAUAAUAAUGCAAAGGUCUUACGGGAAAUUUCAUUCGACAAACUCUAAUACUGUCUCAUAAAAUUUUGCUGCCAAUACUUCUCAAUGUUAAAGCAUAAACGGCAGUUAGAUCACUGGUUGUUUCAUCAUUUGUCAAUAAUCCUGUAGUACCUGAUCUUUUCACUUGAUUAUAGCUCAAUAUUUAUCUGUAAUGCUUAUAUUAUGUGUUUAGUUUGAAUUGUUUCACAUAUUUGGACACACCAACCGUAAUUCACUGGUUGUUUCAUCAUUUGUCAAUAAUCCUGUAGUACCUGAUCUUUUCAGUUGAUUAUAACUCAAUAUUUCUCUGUAAUGCUUAUAUUAUGUGUUAACUUGAAUUGUUUCACAUAUUUAGACACACCAACCGUCAUUUAUUUGGAUAAUAUCCUCUUCUAUUGAUGCCACUUAAGUAGUGCUUCGUAGCAUGAAAAACUUAACCUGAACAGUGUACAGAAAUAAUACCAAGCUGUUUAUCAAGUGUCAUUGUUUUUAAGUUUCUGCAGUUGUUUUAGUGUGCUGUACAUAACACCUAUCUGUGUGCAGUUCUGCUCUUGUUUUUGAAGUAACUAUACAUUUAUAAACAUGCUAUUUACUCAAGUAAUAACAUCAAUAGGUCGUGAGCAACCCUGAGAAGACUCCACUUCAUACUUUCUUCUGCAGCUAUGACUUGACAGACAUGCCUUCAGGGACCAAGGUACAAGACAUUAUGACUAAUUUCAGUUUUAAAAAUAAAUUGUGACUAAUAGACUUUUUCUUUGGCUCAAAUUCGAAAUAGCCUUGAAGCUUACUUGUCAUAUGAUUGCCUUAUUUCUUGUUGACUUGGUGGCAACAUAUGUAUUUGCUUUGGGUUAUUGUUUUGGUCAGCUGAGCCAAUAUUAAACAAAGUCGAAUACAUGGUUGCUUGCAAGCUUUGAUCUUUUCCUAUAAGCUUAGUCAAAGGUUAUCACACACAUAAUGGGUCAGAAUGUAAUAUUACAUUAUUAAUCAUUCACAAUGACAGAGAACAAGUGUUUUGAAGCUUGCAGUUUUGGUUUCUCCAUCUCCAUCCCCAAUUCUCAUCUUAUUUCUCUUGUUGUAAUGGGACAGACUUUCAUGCGGCAAAAGGUCACUCUGUCCCCCACUCUUUCCUCCUCUAAUCCAAUGAAAGAAGGAAGUAAUGCCGGUGACAUUAAUAUUGGCCCCAAGGCUGAGUCUGUCUCAUGUGGAGAAGUUACAGAACGGGAAAGUUCAGAAUGUAAUGGUGCUGAUAGCCCGAUACGACUAGUAGCUCAGUCCAAACUACUUAUCUCGAGUCAACUGAUAGAUUAUUUUGUCUUUGCAGGCUCAUCUGAUGGAUCAGAGGAGAAAGACGCAAAUGCAAAACGUUGUUCGUUGGACAGUAACAUGAUGGAAUCAAAUAAACAUAACUCUCCUGUGAAUAAGAAAAAUAACACCGAUUCUGAUGAUUGUUGCUGUCAGAUGGACAAUUUAGGUGGCAAGAAUUAUUGCUGUGCAUCUUCUAGGAUUAAUGAUAGCUCGGGUGGAGGUGUGAUUCGCUAUGCUCUGCACCUGCGCUUUCUAUGCCCUUCCUCCAAGAAAUCCUCAAAAUCGAUGCUACGAUGCAAAUCCGAUCCAUCAUCGGUGCCAUAUGAUAGUAAUGCCGCGAAAGAGGACGAUCGCAGAUUCUACCUUUAUAAUGAUCUUAGAGUUGUAUUUCCUCAAAGGCACUCAGAUGCAGAUGAAGGCGAGGUAUGCACCCAUUCCAAUAUUGUGAACAUCAUCUACCAGUACAGCUUUCUUCUGGUUUCUUUCUUGGAUAAUCAGUUUCUCACUUUACAUAUAUAGAAAUGUAUUUGGUUUAGCAUAAUGUCUUACUUUGGGCUACUCCCAACUUAUUUCAGCAGCCGGUUCCUGACAAUUAACUGAGUUUAUAAUGCAAUAUAUCAUCUCUAUCUGGCUUGAUUGCAACUCUUGUUUCUUGAUCUGUUACUACAUUUUAUCCUAAAGAGUUUUGAUGUGUUGGUUUUCACUUUUGUUUCAGCUGCGUGUGGAACAUGACUUCCCUGCUGAUCCCAAGUACUUCGACAUAAGCAAUUGACACCUCUGCUUCUCCUCCUUGUGCAUGCAGCUAAGCUCUCAUGUCAUUUGUGUACAUAGCAUGCGCUUUCUUGCGCACAAAAAAAAAAUGUAAAUAUCUUUUUAAUCCUUCUUAACUUGUCAUCACUCAUCAGCCCCCGAUGUAUUUAUCAGUCGCAACCAACUGUACAGUUUCAGUCUUCAAAUAAAAUGCAACUUUUAGUUCCCAGUUUGUGCUGUGCGUUACUGAACCUGAACAAUUCAGGUUUGUGGUUGCAUAUGGAUCCCAAUGGACGCGUCGUCAUGCCAAUUGGGCCGGCCUGGCUGUGCUGGGCCCACGCAGCUGCAGCUAGCUAUUUGGGCUGCUCGCGCGGGGGGUCGUUUGGUCUACGCGGCCCAGUCGAACGCAAGACGUACAUGGAGCAGAGGGGAAAGUUUUGAUCCCUCGACAGGAUGUCUCUUCAUUUGCUUAAAAAUCAUUUGACAAGUUUUGAAAAUUUUUUGACAAAAGUCUUAGGUCCAAACUCAACACACAUGUUGAGAUAUAGAAAAAAGAUAAAUUCAGCGUAUAAAUAUUAACGUACUGAUCACAUCUGAAUUUGUCUUUUCUGUUUUACAAUGAUUCGGUCGAAUUUGAACUUGAUUUUUGUUGUACAGAUAAAUAUCAUAAUACUCAACAUUGUCAUUUGUUUUCAUAAUUUUCAUAACUAUUUGGAUCGAAUUAGAAGAAAAAGAUAUAAAAGGGAUAUGAGAAAUUAUAAUCCACUCCAGGAGCAGAGUCCAUUGGAGAAUCGAUCGGUUUGUUGCACACUUAUUUUCUUUUUGUGUAUCUUAGCUUAUCUUAUCUUCUCGAAUUCCUAGCGUAAGCUCGUGUAUGUAUGUAGUUUUGCACGAUUAAGAUACUUAGCUAGAGUAUUGGUAAGCUAAGAUUCGUAAUGACAUCUACUUAUAAUAAAUUUAGAAGAAGCGAAACAUUAUUUACUUUUUCAGUUGUUGAUUGACGAGGACGUACGGACGUUGAUCGAUCGACGAGGAUGGUGGAGCUCGAAUCGCAGGAGGCGGUGACGGUCGCCUCCACCGCCGACAUCGCCGUCGACGUCUCGCUCCGGCUUCUCGCCGCCGCCACGUCGCUCGCCGCCGCCGUCGUCGUCGCCGCCAACCACCAGCAGCGCUGGGGCAUCCGCGUCGACUUCACCCUCUUCCAAGUCUGGAUGUACGACGAUCUAUCUAAUCUCGCCGCCGGCCGCCGGCGUUUUGAUCUCUGACAUUGUCAGUGUUAAUUGAUUUGCAGUGGCUUCGUGGCGGUGAACCUGGUGUGCACGGUGUACGCGGCGGCGACGGCGGCGGCGGCGGCGAGGAAGGCGAUGGGGCGGUGGUGGCUGCACCACGCGGACGCGGUGGUGGUGAACCUGGAGGCGGCGGCGACGGCGGGCGCCGGCGCGAUCGGGUCGAUCGCCAUGUGGGGGAACGAGGCCAGCGGCUGGUACGCCGUCUGCCGGUUGUACCGGAGGUACUGCAACGCCGGCGCCGCCGCGCUCGCCCUCUCCCUCGCCGCCGUCCUCCUCCUCGGCGUCGCCUGCGCCCGCUCUCGCUACCCCAAGAUGCCGCCCACCACCUAGCUUAAUUACUCCAUGCUUAAUUUGCUCCAUACAUGUUAUUGUUUUUACAUGUAUAUAUAUAGUUACAGCUUAGAACAUUAUGCAUUUUUUUACGUUUUUUUCUCUAACUACUACUCCCUCUAUUUCAUACCAUAAGUUGUUCGGCUUGUUUUCUAAUCAAAAUUCUUUAAGUUUGACCAAGUUUAACGACAACUUUUUUUCUUUAAGUUUGGUCAAACUUAACAAAUUUUAACUAGUAAAAAAGUCAAACGAUUUAUAUAAUAAAACAAAGAGAGUAAUUGGUUCCGUUCUAGUGAAAUAAAUCAACCUGGCACUGGAUGAUGUGACGCUAUCUCCAGAUUCAUUGGUUUAUUUUGACACGGAUAGAGUAAUUUAUUGCCGGUAGAGAUUUAUGCAUGGAUAUGUAUAUCAGAAUCAUAAUCAGACUGAAACAUAUUUCAGUAUGAUCUCGUGCAUAUAUAUAAUUAAUGUGGCUAUUUGUGCAUAUUUACGUAUAUAUAAAAUGCCAUAUAUUUCUACGAGGAGAUGAGAAAAAAAAUCUAAGGUCUAUUACAGUAUGUAGUGUAGAUUUGUAGUAGGGGUACUUAAUUAUCAAGAUCGACUCUUGGACGCAAAAAUUUUAGCUGAACAAUACAUGCAGCAGCAGACAGACUUAAGCAGAGCGUGCAUAGGUUGUAACAACAUACGCAACAUAUUUCAGACUUAGCUCUCAGCAUAUAUAUGGCCACAUCGAUCUCUGCAACGUCAAAAAGCCAGGCUACGUACAUUGCAGCUAGCUAUCAGGGAUUGCAGGGAUGAGAUCACCCGCCAUUGCUGACAUCAUCAGGUGCUCCGUUCGACUUCACAAACCGGCCUUUCACCCUCUUCCUCGUGUCCGCUCUCAGCUUCCUCGACUCGUACCUGAUGUGCUUCUCAUACCUGCACCAAGAACAUCAGUGACAGUCAGAACAAGAUUCAGGCAUUCCUGUAACUGUAAACAACAAUGGUGAGUUGAGUUCAGGGUAGUAAGGUUAGUUCAUCCAUGCCUGCGGUUCUUCUUCUUCUCCCUGUACCGCUGCAUCGCGCUGUCCCUGUUCUGCGCGAGCGUCUCGCUGUCGAUCUUGAUGGUACAUGGCCUCUGAUCGGCUCCGGUAGGGACGACGGUCUGAUCACAGAAGGAAAUCUCCUUGGGGAGAGCCGAUCCUCUGUCGUUCGAAGAGCCCCCCAAUGCCCCUGAAGCAGCAGGUACAUGGCUUGUGGAAGUUGUCGGUCCAUCGAUCGUCGAAGCGCAUGAGCUCGCCUUCCGUUUGUUGCUCCUGGUGCUUGGCUGCAAGGAAAGUUCAAGCAGAGAACAUGAGUAACUGAACUGAAGAUACUCCUCUGGUCCUAUAUACUACCAUCACAAAUGCAGAAUUUUACAGGGUAGCAAACAGACAGCAAUUUUUUUUAGGAUAGCCCCAGAUAGUGGUUUGGUACUUCCUACAAUGACACUUACCCUACAAUGACACCAACCAAGAAAAACGUGGUGGGGCUUUCUAUGAUACAACAAAAUUGGCCUUUCAAUGUUUCGCAACGAAACAAGAUGCGUCCAUGACUUGGUGGACCAAAGGAGGAGGAAACAAGGAUCUGUACGGUGGUCCAUAAAUAUCGCGGUGAUUGAAACAAGCUAAAAGUGUUCACACCAUAUGGGACCAUGGUGCCAACUUAUACAAGAAUAGCCCCCCUUUAAAAAGAUAAGAUCGAAUUAGGAACAUAACACUGGAGCCAUUGCAGAAGUUAGUGGCGCAUCAACAUCAGCGAAAGCUCUGCCAUGGGGUCAACUGGGAAGUUAACAGGUAACAACUAAAAGAGUGUCCAUGCCACACACAGAUGGAGUACCAAAUGUCCACGUGAGCAUGCACAUUUUAAGAAGGAAAAGGCAAAAAGUUCCUUUUCAGAAAGUCCAUCAGCUUCUUCAAGCAAACCUGUUGUUAGUGAUUUGCUUAAAUCGAUACCUUGGGCUUUGUCAUAGAUUAUUAGUAUGAAGUGUAAGGCUUGGUAACAAAUAAGAGGAUCCUAUACAGAUAGAUAAGGUGUUCUAACACUACUUUUAUCCUUGCUGUUGGAAGUUACAGUGCUAAUCAAAAGAUACCAAAAUUGCAAGAAUUAUGAGAUUCAUCAGAUGCAUGGAUUGAUGCCACUUCUUCUCUAGCACAAGGCAGUAUGAGAAUACCUUGCUUGGCACCACUAAGCUAGGUGAAUUGUGUGCUAGGUGCGCUGGAUAAGCACAGUCAGCAAGCAUAUUUUACGUUGGAAAAAAGGGGAUUAUGGCUUACAUUUUUCGAUGACAGCUGACAGACAUUAGUCGACAUGAUAUCUUCGGCAGCUGCAAAAUAUCUUGAGUCAUAAAUAUCUUCCAGAUCCUUCGUUGUCCCAGAAGAAAUCUCCUUGAGCAUGUCAUUAUAACUCUUAAUCAUAAAGCCUCCAUUGUUUGAGCCAAAUCCAACUUCAAGUGCAGAGUUCUCAUUGUGAUCCCUUGAUUUUCCCAAAUUAAAAUCCCAUAUCUGUCACGCCGAUAACAAGAAGAGAACCGUAAGUUUUAGGCCAUGAAAUGAAGCUCAUUCCAGGGUAAACUAGAAGAAGCAUUGAAAUAUUUAGGAGAUGGAUUAGCAAGGGUGAUUAGUUGAAAAACAUUCUUUCCUUUGAUGACAGUUCUACUAGUAUAUAUAUGCCUACGGAAAGUUAAUUAUUUGCUUGAUUAAAGCUAGACAGUCUGUAGCCAAAAGUCAGGUAAAGCUCAUUGCAUCAACACACCAUGAUUCAAGAGCCUAUUUGCACACCCCAGGUCAUAGGAUCUAUCUCAUAUCUGAAGGGGCAAAUACUCUGAAGAAUGCAGUACAGCAGUAGUAUGAAAUAUCUACAUACAAUGCACUUUCCAUAUUGUGAUAGCAACAUCUCCUCAGAAAGUUCUGUCUAACUUGCAUUAUUGAAAAGGAAAAAACACCCAUCCUCAUCAGCCCAAUUUGCACAUUCAAUGCCCCUAAAACAAUGCUACCCAGUCCAUGAUACUUUACUUUUUUGCAGUAAGAGUCCAUGAAAGUUUAUUGUGCCUGCAAGCAAUCUCUGAAAGAACCGGUUCAUAAAUCGUGCAUGAUGGCAACAAGGAUAAAUUUAUGUCUACUCAAAGUAAUAGAAUCAUUCUGUUAUGUGGUUGAAAAAAAACUAGGAAAUAGAACUAGACAGGACACGAAAACCACAUGAAAAACCAGUAUCAUGUACAAAAGCACAGAGAUGUAAAAUUUCAAUAACUCGCACCUAUAGUGUUCAUCACAAAACCACAGUGGUAGUUCUCUUGAAAGGUUCAAACAUCCAAUUCUUUUACCCAUCCCCUCAUCCACAAGAGAUUAGAGAUCAUAACCGCAUCUCUCAAUCUGAAUGAUCUGCACAACUGAGCACGAACUACACAAGUGAUGGGUCCAACACCACCAUUCGUACAGUUUGUUCUAUUGCUAGAUGUGAACCAAUAAGAUCCUAACACCACGUGAUCUUAAUGAGUGUGAAGCUACAAAUAAUUCGACUAAUUAAGCAAUGCAACUAACAUUGCUCACACUAAUCAAACAUUGAACAGGCCAGAAAUGCAACAAUUAACCAUUACCCCAAAAACAAAAAUCAAACAUUGAAUAUACAGCGAAGAUGCAAUCGUAAUUCAGAAGAUGUGUGCUUAUUCAAAAGAAAUUCUGCUUCUUUUUACCUGGGUUGGUGGCACUGAUGGCGCGGUGCUCUCCCACAGAACAUUUUCAUCUUCGUCUCCAACACGGUUGUUUUCCAUGAGCUCGGUGCAGUUGGCCGGCGCCAUCAUGAGCAGUGAAGUGUACGGCAGCGGCGCCGCCGUCGCAGCAGCAUGAGGCAACGGCGGGGGAGCUUGCUUUUCCUGCAGGCGGCCGCUCGCCGCGGCGGAGGUCCGGCGAGGCGUGCGGGGGCUCAGAUCCGAGUGCGGCUGCGUGUGCGGGUGCGCCGUCUCGGCCUCCCGGCGCGCCAUCUCGGCGAGCUGGUGGCCGAGCGCCUCCCCCUUGAGUCGCCGCCCGCCGCCGGCCACCACCACCUCGGGCGGGUCGCAUGGCACGUAGAGGUCGCGCAGCACGGGGUCGACGGCGAGCAUGGAGUAGUCGAGCGCCGAGAAGAACGCGUCGUCGGCCUCCUCCUCCUCGCCGCCGCAGCCGCCGGGGAGGUCGAGCCCCCACGACGCGGCGAGCUCGGCGGCGGCGGGGCACCCGGAGAACCCCUCGACGGGCACCCGCAAGGCCGCGCCGUCGUCGCCGCCGCACCCGGUGUCGCAGUCCGCGCACAGGAACGCCGGCGCCGAGGCGGAGGCGACGCGCGCGGCGGCCGGCCUGGCGGCGCAGGCGGCGCAGAGCGGGGCGCGGACGUGCUUCCGCGAGAGCGCGUUGGCGGCGUGCACGUGGCGGUCGCAGGCGACGCACAGCCUCGCGGCGUCCGCCCUGCAGUGCAGCGCCGCCGCCGCCUCCCCGCAGUAGUCGCAAGGCCACUGCUGCUGCUGCCCCCUCCCUCCUCCUCCACCACCAUCCUUCAUCUCGCAAACCGAAUCAAACCAAACCAAAUCGAAGCGCGAGGAGGAGGAGGAAGGAGGCGGGGGUCUACGACGACUUUUGAGCUCGGAAGCAAUGCAAUGCAGGAAUGAGGAGGAGGGAGAAGGCAGCGAGGUGGUGGAGAAGAGAAGACGGCGAGAAUGAGAUGAGAUCCGGUGCGGAGCGCGCGAACACGGGACACGGAUUCGGACUCGUUCCCGCGCGUCGAGGUGGAGGGAGGGUGGGGCCCGCUUGUCAGUGGGCCAGGGGUGUCGGGAAAUAUCUCUCCGGCUUUAGCUGAGCUGGUGGGGGUGACGUGGUCGGGCCCACCAGAAUGCGGCGCUAAUUGAUUUUUCGGAUGAAUUUUAUCAUAAUUCUGGACUUGAAAACAUUUUUCGUUUAGAGGCUGUUACAAAACGGGAUGCCGUUGUAACAGGAUAGACAUAUUAACUAUUUUCUUGUAUGAGUAUCACAUGUAUCAGGUCUUAGGUAUCACAGAUAUAAGGGUGUCCCGUUCCAACAGGAUACCGUUGUUUAGGUUUUCUGUUUCGUUUAAGGAUAGAAUUAGGAACAUGUCCUCGUAUAUAAUAUGCUUAACAAAAGUCGAUAGAUGACUGUUGGACUUUAUAAGGAACGAGGGCAUAUUUUUGUAAUGAAUUUCAAAACGUUUAAGAAUCAGUAUCCUUCCCAACAUUUUGAUUGAUUGCAUGUUUCGUUAUAUUAUGUUUUAUUUUUUGACUUUUAAAUUAUCCCUAUAAUAAGGAUCUUUUUUUACUUGCUAUAUAUAUUGGCACAUAUGGGUGCGAUAUUUUUUACCGGAAUAAAAAUUUUCAAAAAAUACCGAAACAUUUUUUGGACAUAUUGGAGUGUAUUGGGUGCGUCCGUGUCGAAAAAUCACCCCGUAACUCGCGUGACGAACUUUUAUCAAUUAAUACUAAUAUUAUCAUAUGUAUACAUUUGGAAUGUAAAAAAUAGAAAACCUUUUCAAAUGUCACCAGAAGUAAAGCUACUACUCUUCCUGUAAAAUUCUAAUAAAAUUCCCAUGCACCAAUUAAUUAAUUAGACUACCUUAAUUAUGGCAUUUACUCUAAUAUGAAGUAAUAAAAUACAUAUAAUGAUACCACGAGUUUGUGAUUAAGAUAUACUCCUCCGUUUUCAGCAUGUAAGAUUACUUGGUUUAUUCAAAAUUAAAUUUCUUUAAGUUUCAUCAAGUUUAAGGAGCAACAUUUUUACACCAAACAAAUAUAUAAUGAAAAUAUAUUCAAUGGUGGAUUUCAUAAAAUUAAUUUGGUAUAAUAGGUAUACUGUUUUUUUCAUACACUUGGUUAAACUUGAAGAAAUUCGAUUUAUAUCAAAACCGAAGCAUGAAAAAACAGAUGGAAUAUAGGAGCAGAAACAAGGUGAGAUUGAUCGAUAAGAGAUGCCAUCAUUAUACUAGUACAAAAUUGUCAAUGCCGUGUGAAUUGGAUUGCAGGAGUUGCUACAAGAUGUAAUUGGUCAUUUGUCAUGGUUCAACGUCCUAACAUAAAAGUUAUAAAGUGAUAGAUUAGUACGACAUAGAAAAAAAAAUAUCUCCAAAAGAUAGAGAUGGCCCUAGGAAUAGCUAGCCGCACGUGCUCCCGUAGAAAGCAAGUGAUCUACAGUAAGCACAAUUAAUUUGCACGAUAAACGUAGCUACCUAAAUUACCUACGAGUUGACCUCAAUGAUAAUCCUAAGAGACAUACUAAAUUUUUUUCAUAGUAAAGUUAAUUUUGGAUGCUGGAAAUUAAUAUUGAUAAUGGAAUUAUGGCAAUACUCUACUUGAUAUCAAAGGACUGCAGAAUUUAUUUUCCGGUCUUUAGAAUCAAGUUAAAUUACUUCGACUUAGGGGAUAAUCUCUCAUACAUAUGGCACUGAACUAAAAUUCUCUCCCAUCCCAAUUGAUUAAGCAUGCCAUUCUUUUUUCUUCUGUACAUUGGCUAGCUUUCGAUUAAUCACAACGUGCCUUCACAAAUCAGGCACUUUUGCUAGAUCACAAUCACACAAACCUUGGUCAUCAUCUAGAUUAUUGCAAAAAAUACCAGAUCAUGAUGCGUAGUACAUAUGCAAUAUAAUGCCGACAUGCAGCUUAUGGGUCACGAUGGUGACACUAUCGGUCGGUGUCGACAUUGUCAAUAUCGUCCUACUGGCUACGGGAGCUUCGUCCUAGUACUAAUUAUACACUCAUGAUCAUUAUCGGGGCGAGUUAAGUCUCAACAAGAUAGACCUAAUGUCAAAAUUUCUUUUUACUCUAUUAUAUAUAUCAGAAAUAAGACAGUUUAGUAUGUCGUAAAUAAAGCCAUCUAAAUUCAUGUCGCUGCCACGUACCCAUUAGACGUGUACUUCAUCCGUCCCAAAUCAAAUUAACUUUAUUUUAAAAAGGAGGGAGUAAGCUAGAAGUAUAACCACACCAUCUAUUCAUGUAUAGUAGCUAUUUGGUUGUUGGUCUAUUUGGUUAAGCAGGAAUGGAGUAAAUUUUGAUAACAAGAUGAUAUCUUCUUCUUUUCAAGUUACUCAAUGAUUACAUACCUGGACUAUCCUUCACAAAUCGGAGAGAAACACCAGGAGUCUUCUAGCUAGCUCCACAAGGUGGUGGGCUAGCCGGUCUGGGUUCAAAGCCUCACCCAUUCUAAUUAUUUGAUGUUAGGUCAUUUUUUAAUAUUCGCGUUUUCUUCACAAAUCAGGAUUACAUGAUACUAUUGCGGUGGUAUCACGACAGCUGGACUAGGUGGCACUGCCCCUUAAUUUGUUUGACAUACACUCCGUUGGGAAGAUAUCUUAUGGGUACCACCAUGCAAGAAAUGUUAGGUACACUAGAUAUAAAAUUAAACCAUCUAAUAAGUCAAAUAAUUAUUUUAUGAAAAACAGCAUAAUUUCUCACCUAAAAUUUGAUGAAAUACCAUGCAGUGGUAACUUGAUGAAAUUCUCCUAUAAAAGAAAGGUUCGAAUAGUUGUGACAGGUGGGUCCUUCAACAUGUGAAACGAACCAAAUUUGCACUAAAAUUAUAUAUUUCGAGUAAAUUUCAGAGGCACCAAUCAUCCUCCUAGAAGAGAAAUUUUAGUAGUUCUGAAUCAACCACAACCAAAUUGAAUGCACAUAUGUUUUUCCUAGUACCCUAUGGUACUACUCAUGUAGCCAUUGUACUUUGAUACAUACAUGGAGAAUGCAUGCAUUUUUUAGAAGUGCAAAUUUUGAUAAUUUUCUCUUUUUUUUUUUCAAACUCACAAUUAAUUUUUGUUGACCAAACUCACAAUUAAUUCAAUCGUGCUUGCAUGUCAGAUUGGGAAGAGGUAUAUAUAGUUGUCCCAAAGAUGCCAUUUGCAGCAAGAGCUAAGAGGUAUGGCACUAGAUCUCUCAUUAUUGCACAAGGCAUGUCCAAGAUCUAGGAAUUGAUUUGAUGGUCCCUUCAAAGUCUUCCCUCUCUCAAAUGGAAACUUUUCAUGCAUUAAGUUAAAAGUGGCUUGUUUUCUUGUCAUAAUCCAUAAUCCUCUAUCCCCUGGAAGAUUUUGUACCAAAUGCAUGUGCUUUGACUUGUAAGCUAGAUAUAUAUGUGUGUUGUUGUGGUUUAUGGACCACCUUAAUUAAUUAACUUCUGGUCCAAUGUGUCAUUCUUGAGAAAAGUUGCCCUUUCAGUUAGAAGUUUCCACUGUGUGAAGCUCAAAGUCAGCAAUUUUCCGGUCCAAUGUGAGGUACAACUUCAAAGUACAUUCUUUAUUAUGAAUUCUAAAGUCUAAAAAUGUGACCUCAAAGUUAUUCAUACAUAAUUAAACUCUGAUUCCAAGUAGUUUGCACUUUGCACUAGACCAAAUGUCUAAAACAGCAUGUACAUCAGCACCAGAGUAAAAAAAAAUAAAUCUGUAUAGCUUUUUUAAUAUUAGUAGUAGCUAGCACAUUACAAUUAGAGAAGUAGUAUAUAGUACUAUACAAUAAUGUUAGGCAUAACAUUAAUGUUUGACCCCUCUCUUGGAAAUUGUGCAAAUAAUCAGGAAACAAAUAUUCAAAAGUAAAUUUGAUGACACGUACGAUAGGGGAAAUUAAACAAGUUGCACUGAAAAGUAAAUCCAAGAGUCCCCACAAAAGAAAAGUAAAUUCAAAAAGGGAAUGAUUAGAAUUGUCUGUGGCUUUUCUACGUUGAUUUUUUGUCGGAUGUUCGAUGCUUUGAUUUUUUUUGCACAACUAUUAAUUCCAGGCCAACAGCACAGAAAGAAGUGAUAGCACUUGACAUUCACCAAAUGAACAAAAUUAUGCACUUGAUAUUCCAAUAGGAUUAUUAAUACACUGAUUCCAUUCAUGUUGAUGUCCAAACUGAAAUGUAUUUGUAACCUUGGGUUGAAUUGCAACACCAUAUCCAAUGCUUUGGAGACUUUAAGUGGAUUUCAUAAAUAAACUAUCCUUACCCUUUGGAAGCAUAUGUACUCGAUCGUGCCAGUCCAUAAUUAAACAUAAUCUCUUUGUUUAUUUCCUAUUACACUAGAAAAAUAGCCUAUUGAUAUACAAGUAGUGCAUACAAAUCCCCUUAAAAGGUGACACUAUAACCAUUCCAUAUUAUUAUAUCAUCUGUACUAACACUGCUUUUGAAAAAGCCAUGCAUCUUCAAAGCACAAAUGCUGCUCACCCAAAGUGUGUAUUAUAAUAAAAAUAAUAAUAGUCAUUGCAGUUGGCCCCCAUCACCAUGAUAUAUACUGCACAGAAAGCGAACAUAUCAAAAAAACCAUAUAGAAAUAGAAUUUGAGUGUGGUGGUACAUGCUAAUUGAGCAUGAGACAUACAAUAAUAAAUUUAUCUCUUAAAAAAAAGUAACUCCAGCAUCCUGUUAUAUUUUAAAAACCUUAUACUAAAAAAAUACAGUACGUGUAGUGUUGCAACUUUUCGAAUUGAGGUCAGCAGUGACGCCAUUGCGGCUACACGUGAAUUUGAAAUAAUUUAAUCGAACAAAUUCCGGCCAAAUCUUUUGGCGAGCAAAGCAAACCGUGGGCCGCCACGUACUCCUGCUGCUUGCUUUGAUUUAGCUGGAUUUAGCAAGCUGGGAUUUAAAUUAAGCAUGGUUGGGCCAGUGGAGUGCCAUGAUUAGAGUGUUUUAUAAUCCCGUACAUCUAGCUGCUUCUUCAGUUCUUCUUCUUUUAGUAGCACUUGUGACAGAAGUAUUAAACUAAUCCUGCUUGAUUAAUUAGUUGAAGAUGCCGUGACAGUUGGGAGAGGAGUCCAGAAGCGUCUAUUUUUGGUGUACGGAUUCCUGUUUCUAAUUAAUUAAUCGGUUUCCGGAUCUUAUCUUGCCAUAAAUAAAUUAAAAAAUGUUGUCUUGUCACAUUCAGCCUACAGUGUGAUUUGUGAAGUGGCAGGUCAAGCAAGCAAAUCUUCAGACUUCAGAGUAUACAGAGAAUUUUAGAAGUUCAGAGACUUCAGAAUUCAUCAUCAGGUGCACAUGUCUUGGGUUGGGCCUAGCUGUGAUGGGCUUUGCAAUGGAAGCCCAUAACUAUUACAAGUGAGGCCCAACGAUCACCCAAGAAAUGUAGGGUUAAUUGGAUCCUAGCUAUCAAAGAGAGAGAUAAGGAGUGAUUUCUGAAUUCUGACAGUGUGAACAUUCCUUUUGGACUGUCAAAAUUGGCUGCUAAAUGGCUGACAUUAGGAUAGAUCUUAGGAAACCAAACCUGACAUGUUGAUGCUGCUUAAUCUAUGCAAAAAGUUUUGGUUUGGUCUUUGUGAUCAUCUGUAUAUAUGUCGUAUGAUCACCAUGCAUGCAUCUAUCAUGAAUUCAGAGAGAGUUAUCUGCUUGAGCCACUAGUAGCUAGAUAGACAGGGAUUCCAGACUGAGGCCCAGCAACUAGUGUCUCUAUCAAAAUGGGUUGACCAUUUAUCUCGAAUAUGUUCUCUGAAUAAAGAUUAUCAUCAUGCAUGAAGAAAGAUGCUAUUUGGACGCAAAAACAUGAGCUUUCCUGCACUGCAAGCUGCCUAUAAAUAGCCCCUGAAGCAGGUUGUUUUGCCAUGAACCAGCAGGCAACUGCAAUGAGCUUAGCUAGCAAUUAGCCAUGCAUAUGCACAGAAAAAACACAGAAUUAAUGCAUGAGAAGAGGGGGGGGGGGGGAAGUUAAUUUCUGGAGAUGGAAGAGAGCAAGGCUUGCAUGGUGAUAAGGGUGUAGCUCUGGUAGCCAAGGAUGACUUGCCUGUGUCCUUGUGUAGAGGAUCAUUCAGAAAAUGAGCCUUGAACUGGUUCAUAGGCAGUCUCCUUGGCUAGUCUGAGUCGCUCUUAUCACUCAUGUUAGGCUUGCAUCUCGUUGAUCGAUAUGUAAUUAACUACGUUUUCUUCAGAAGGAAAAGUAAUUCUUGAUGCAUUUAUCAGUUCUUUGCAAAAUCUAUACAUGCAGAGAUACAGUUUGAUCAUCUUCAGGUUACAGUUACAGGGGAGCACUGCUGCAAAGUUAUUCAUAACAGUACAUAUAUAUAUAUGCGUGUGGUAUCUUUGCAUUAUAGGAUUGACCUGAUCUCACACUUAACUGCAUAUCAUGUUAUGUUUGCAACAGGUUCUAUUGGUAGAACAGAUAUGAAAACAGACCAGCUUGGCAAAGAACACAAAGAUCAAAUAUUUCAGAGAAUCGACGAACACAGGCGCGGACAAUUGCAAUGUGAAACCUGAUAAUUAGUUUUAAUUUUGCCAGCAAUGCGGAGCAUAUGCAAUUUGUAAAUUGAUGGCAAUGCAAGUCUGAACUUUUUUCAUGUAGUUGAUAUUUUUCUACUGUCUGUACUUGGAGCUGUUCAUGUUCAGUGUUUGUCGGACGUUCUUGAGAGCCUAGUUAUUUUUGUCAUUUUAAUCCUGUGCUAUUUAUGAUUUUUUUAACCCAUCUUGUUAAAUUAUGGCUAUAUCUGAAACUGUGAGUUAGUACUCCUAUCUCUGAAUUUUGUGCAGAAACAGAUUCAGAAAACAAUGAAAAGGAAGAGCUGCUAUAAAUUUCCCAUCGCCUUUCAAAUCACAGGAAUGUCAAACAUAUACAUGCAUGGCCAUUUUCUUGACACAUGCAUGCAUAAAAUGCAAAGUGAGAAAAAAGAAAGCAAGAAAAGGUUGAGCUAGAUGCCUAGAUUGGGACUGAAUGUCUGAACAUACCUUCAGGCUUCAGAGAAAUGAGACAAUGAUCAAUCAUCCCCACACACAUAGAUAUGCCAAAAUGGUUAAAGCUACUAGCUGUGUACGUGAACAUGCAUGAGAUGAUCCAGCUAUAGCCGCAAAGCUAAGCUAAAUAUAUACUUUCCAAAACAACAAAAGCUAGACAAGAUAGAGAGAUUCCCUUAGCCUAGCUGAUCACUAGCUAUCUGCCUUUUGUUCAGGGGCACACAUUGCAUGGUCGGCGCGGCGGCGCCGUCGCCGUCGCCGGAGCAAUGCAUGCACCGCCGCCUCGAUAGAUCAAUUGUGCCACGUAUGGUACGGCAUAUCGUCUUUUGCAGAUGCUGAAGAAAUAUGCUACUGAUCAGCUAGCUGGUGAUCAAAGUUCAGAGUUCUGACGAUCGGACGACUGAAUGUACACGCAUCUGAACUACUUUUCGUUUCUCUGUUGGUCUACAGGAUCAGUACUAGCUAGUGCGUAAUGCAUGUGUCGACAUAUAUACAUUUUUGUAAUCUGGGAAAACUCUUAUGUUUGAGCUGAAUAUCUGACAAAGUGUAAUUAAUACAAUAAUAUAUAGAUAUGUACUGUAACGUGGUUGUUUUUGGAACGAAGUUCUGAACAAAAUGUUUGAUGUUUUUCCAAUUUUGUACUGCUGCAUGCUCAUGUUUAGUUAUACUUCUAUUGAUCUAGUACUAAGUGCUAGCAUUUUCCUUGCAGAAAAGAAUUAUUACGAGCAUUAGCUAAUUAAAGCUAGCUAAACCGAUUUUAACUGCUCAUUCCCUUUUGCAACACAAAGUUACAAACCAGUUUAUUUUCUUUUUGUAAGCUUUUCACUUGAAAAAGGUAAACUAUAGAGGGAAAUCCCCCCUCAAAAAAAAAAAAAAAACUAUAGAGGAAAUCAAUAUGCACAUAUAUAGUGCACAUUAAGGCUGUAUAUUUCCCGUCCCUCAAACUAUUAUUUAAUUAGUUUAAUUUUUGUAUCUCAAUUGUACAGAUAAUAUCCAUUUUAUCUCUAAAUAUGGAUUAAACUCAUCCCUUUUUCUCUUGCAUGAAUUUAAUUUUGACCAUUGUUGGUAGUGGGGCUCACUUGUCAUAGGGAGGGGUUUCACGUACCAAAAGUGGCAAGGCAUGGUUUGUUGCUAAAAAAUGGGAAAGGAAUAGGAUGUAUAUGCUUGAUAACAAAUCCGGCCCAGGUGGGGUUGGCCGAGGCCCAACAAAUUAAGGUUGUCCGGACCCCAACAGUUCUUAAGCACACCCACUAGCGGAGAGGCCCAAUCUCCCUAAAAGACUAGUCCAAUAGGGGAAGGGUGGCUCUCUCAUUAAGGUGGCUUCCUCCUCCUAAGCUAAGUAAGGUGGGAUUAUUCAGAGGCUCACACGGUCGCCGUCCGACUUUGGCGUCUUUGCCAGCGGGUAAUAGUGGAGGAUGUCCUCAUCUGAAACCCCGCGGGUUGCUGCGAGCACUUGUAGGUAACAAUCAGGAUGAAACGUUUUUUAAACAAAUAAGUAAGCAUAACAACCAAUAACUACAUUUAGUGGGUACAACAUAAGUUAGAGUGGAGAUUAAUUUAGUAGUUAAUAGAGAAUAAUAAUUGUACACAAUAUAAACGGUUGAGAUCAAGCAUGGAAGAGAUCUAAAACGGCUCAUCUUACGGCUUCACGCAUGUAGAGCUUGUAGUUGUAACUUUAUAUAUAGAAAGAAAGGAUGUAAGAAAACGUUCAAGGGAGGAGAAGACUCUACUUUCUUUAGCCAAUCCUGAUCUAAGCGCAUAUAUAUAUACGCAACAUAACCCUAGAAAAAAGACCCACAUAUGAAGAUCAUAACAAAAUAGAACAGAAUAAAAUCAUUGUCAUCAUACAUAUAUACUGUACAAAAGAUCAUAUAUACUGUUCGAGUAUCUACAUCAAAAGCUAGGGCCAGGCCGGAUUGAUAUAUUAUUGGAUCCAAUUCUACCACAAUAUCAGCUAAUUAUUACUUCUAUUAAUCAUAUUGUUUACUAAUACUUCUAUUAAUCAUAUUGCAUGGUUUAUCAAAAAUGGGGAAGGAAUAGGAGGCAUAGAUAAGAAUACGCUGAAGGAAGGAGAAAACUUUGCUUUCUUUUGCCAAUCCUGAUCGAAGAGCAUAUACGCAACAUAAACCGGAAAAAAAAAGACCCAUGCAUGUAUGCAGAUCAGAACAAAAUAGAAAAAACAUAAAAUCAAUGUCAUCAUACAUGAUCAUAUUGUUCGAGUAUCUCCAGGUCAAAAGCUAUGGGCGGCCAGGGUAGAUAUAUAUAUCACUGGAUCCAAUUCCAAGACAAUACCAGCUAAUUAGUUAUGCAAUUUUAAUUUGACGCGUCUGGGUAACUAGCCAUCCAUAUAGAUUUCUAUUAAUUAGUUAUAGCGAUUUUGCUAUAUCUCACACGAAAGAUUUUUUCUUAUCUCUCACUCGAUUUUCUCACUCAAAUUUACAGUGCAUUUUCUUGUAAGUUACAGUGUAAUUUAUGAAACUUACACUGUAACUUUUGUAAGUUACACUGUAAUUUUUGAAUCUUCGCAUGUAAAUUUUAAAUUUUGUAUUGGAUUUGGUCUUUUUCUUGAGGAUAUGGUAAUUUAGUGUCCAUUAUGGUGUUUCUUAAUUGCUUUUUGCUUUUUAUUAUAUCUAUCGGAUUUUAAUACAAAGAUUAAAAAUCUGUGUGAUACGAUUAUAAAAAUCUUUCGAAAGAUGUAUAGGUACUCCCUUCCAGCAUAAAAUCUUCUUCUAAAGGGGGUCAAUGCAAAGCUCCGAUUUCCCAAGAUGGAAGGAAGCUGUCAUCCACUGCUUUCUGAGAAGAGAAGAUGAAUAUUUUUUCUUUUUCUUUUCUUUUAAAAAAAUAGAAAAUGAAUAUAUAAAUUAAUCAUCCAUGCAUUCUAUUGCUAAGCCAGUAAUAUGCGCUAGCUGCAUACAUAUGCAGAUAUGCAUGCAUGUAUGUUGAAAUUGGCAAAAGAAUAUAUUCUGCAUGAACAAUAUGAUGAGGGAUAUUCUUGAUAUGUUUUUAAUUAUAUGGACCUUUAGAAUAAAAUUAGGUCACAGUUGCUUUUCACUGCACUAUAAAUAGGUCCUGGUGGAUGGAAGCAUGCAUAGCAAACAGGCACAAGAUCAAGCUAAGCUAGCUAGAGUCAUCCAUGGUCCUGAAGAGUUGCAGAGAGUAGAGAUAUAUCUAAAGCUAUAUAUGUACACUAUUUUUGUACUAAGAGAGCAAGGCUUACAUGGAGACAAGGGUUUAGCUCUGGUAGCCAAGGAUGACUUGCCUGUGUCCUUGUGUGUAAGGAUCAUUAAUUAUUAUUCAGAAAAUGAUCCUUUCAGCAGGUUUCAUGGGCAGUCUCCUUGGCUAGCCUGAGUGAUUCUUGUCACUUAUGCUAGGCUUGCAUCUCUCCUUCAUCUGUAUCUAUGCCGAUCUGUUCUGAAGAAUCAAUGCAUGCUGGUGCGGCUAAUUAAGGUACAGGUGAUAAUUAAUCAAAUUAAUGAUAUCAUAUAUAUAUAUGCAGAUUAUAUUAUUUAAUAUGCAGGUCGAGCGAUCUUGUGUUGUACUUUGAUGCUGCUUCUUUCUACCCAUCACAUAGGCAGAAUUAAUCCCUUAUAUUUAGGAAUUAAUGGAUGUAGUAUUUUGGAUCCAUCAUCCAUGAUGAUCCAAUGUAAAUAUGUAAUCAUAUAUAUGUGUGUAUGUGUAUGUAUCUCUAUACGAUACAUAUAUAGUUUUCUUUUUUACUUUAUUUUGGUCCUGAUGAGAGGGGCAGCUAGCUAGCUCAUCAAGUGGCGCUUAACUAUGUUUAUUCAUGAAGAGAUAUGUUAUAAUGGUUUCUAUUGGUAGUGGAAUUAUUAAUUCUGUUGGACAGAAUACAGGAACGAGGUCUUAAUUAUUUUGCAGUGGAUCGGAAUCGGAUGGCUGCAAGAACACGACGUACAAAUAUUGGGCAUAACUAGCUAGGUUGCCACUAUAUGUUUUUUUGUAUGUAAUAAUGUGUUAAUGUUUGUAGCUACUAGCUCGUCGUUCUUUCUGACUUUAUUAUUGUUUUUAUUUUUCUAAGUGAAAAGGGUGUCUUGUAAUAACAUUUUGUUUGUAGCUUAGCUAUAUCUUUUGUGCAACAAGAUCAUUGUACACUUUCUACUAAUAUAGUAGAACUUAAUUCAUUCUUGCUUCUUGUAAUUGCAUUUUCAAGUGAAGUACUGUGUAUCAUGGUAACAUGAUUAUAUUCAUGCAUGAAGUACGAAUUCGAUCACAAACAUAUUCAUGAGUCAAUUUAAAUAUGGACCGCGACUAACCUCUCUUUAUAGACAUAUAACACACAAUACCUAGCAACUUCUUCAUCAUUGCAAUAAUUAAUUGAUAAGUGUUUCCUCGGUUCUUGUGUAAUUCACAUUAGAAUACAUGCAAUCAUGCAAGCUAUUGGAGGUAUUACUGCCUUAAUGUUUAAAUUUAUGAUAUUAUUAGCUUUAUUCAGUCUUUGUGAGCAACUUUGGCCAUCUAGUUU
rnacentral:lncRNA from 1 species